CGAUCAACGGCUCAAAUCCCAUUCCACUGUCUCCUUCCUUCCUCCAUCACCUCUCCCCUCGCCUUAUAAAAAUCGUCAUAACCUCCUAUCUCUACCCACCAAAAACACUCAAAACCCUAACUUUCCCUCGUUUCCCUAACAUAAACCCGAAACCCCAUUUUCCCAACUUACCUAUUUCAAUGGCUCGUACAAAGCAAACAGCAAGAAAAUCCACCGGAGGAAAAGCCCCAAGGAAGCAGCUAGCCACCAAGGCAGCCAGGAAGUCAGCUCCAGCUACCGGAGGAGUGAAGAAGCCCCACCGUUUCAGGCCAGGAACAGUGGCGCUGAGAGAAAUCAGGAAGUACCAGAAGAGCACUGAGCUGUUGAUAAGGAAACUGCCAUUUCAAAGGCUGGUGAGGGAAAUUGCCCAAGAUUUCAAGACAGACUUGAGGUUCCAAAGCAGUGCCGUAGCAGCCCUUCAAGAGGCAGCAGAGGCAUACCUUGUUGGGUUGUUUGAGGAUACGAACUUGUGUGCUAUUCAUGCUAAGAGGGUCACCAUUAUGCCUAAAGAUAUCCAGUUAGCCCGUAGGAUUAGAGGAGAGAGGGCUUAGUGAAGUUGGAUCAGCAACAUCUGCUGAGACCCAUGUCGUUUAGCAGAUUGAGCAUUUUGGGCUUGCUUCAUUGUAAAUCUUUUCAGGAUUUAAUGGCAAAUUGCGUUGCCUAAUUUGAAUUUUAAUCUUAGCAGAUGCAAUAUUUAUAAUCAAUGGAAUAUAUAUUUAUAAUCAACGGAUUAGUUAGUAUGUUGAUUAAUAGACAUGCUCAGAUCUUUAUUGUUUUUACCAUGUUAUUUAAUUGGUUGAAUUUACUGGCUGAAGGAGGCUAAUUUGUGAUGUGGGGUGCUAUCUUUAUUGUUUUUACUAUAUUAUUUUUUAUAUUGUUAAGAUAUUUUAGGUUUUGAUGAGUUUCUACUUUCUACUAGUUUAAUGUAAUGUAUAACUUAUACAAGGUUUAGUUUCUUUAAAAAUUAAUAUAUUUUUUGUUGAGAUUAAUCACCAUAAUUAUAUUGAUUUUUUUUUAAUUCUUUAUAGAGUUAAUUUUAAAAUCUUGAAAAUAAAAUAAAUGAAUUUAAAAUUUUAAGUGUUUCUUGGCGAGGAAGCAGAAUUUGAUUGCCUGGAAUUCAACUAUGUAAUUUUUUUACGCUAUAGUUGUAGUGUUCUGAUUGAUAUAUCGGUCUGAAAUACAUCAGUAUAAUCGAUCGCUUUAGAUGUGUGAUAUUGGUCCUUGGACUUAGUUCAAAGGCUUUCAAGAACUAGGAUAGUUCACUCGAAUGAAAGCAUAAACACGAACGAUUUUUCCAGUUGGAUUAUGCAGUGUUAAGUGCAGACUUCGAAUUCAGAAUGCCCUGAUCCUUCAGAAAGCUAUUUCUAAUGCGAGCUUAACUUAAGCUUGUAGUAACUGGGAUCUCUUGUAAUUUCAGUUCUGUUUUCUAUGAUUCUUCUUAUCUUUUUCAGUAGGGUUGAGCUAGCAGUUGAGUUCCAUUUUUAUUUAAUGAAAGAUUUAAAGAAAAAUUAGAAAGUGUUGUAAUUUGUGAUUUGCUGAUGCUAAAACUAGCAAUCAUCGUGAGCCGCAGAAUGGAGAUGCAUGAUUGGGACAUCAAGCGAGAAGAUGAAGACAGGCGAUCAAGUUUCGAUUGAUAUUUACUAGUUAGGGAAGACUAUGAGAGAGGAGUUGGAGAUCUUGCAUCCUUUACUUGAUGACUGUUGCAUUUACAGAGUCCCUGAGCGGUUGCGAGUGUUAAAUGAAAAAGCCUAAACACCACAAGUUAUCUCUGUCGGCCCACUUCAUCAUGGCGGGGAAGAAUUCAAAGCAAUGGAAGAGUACAAAAGAAGGUAUCUGAAAGAUUUUCUUGCAUGGAGUGAAUUAAGCUUGGAGGAUUUGAUUGGAGUUACUGAGAUGGAAGAGACAAGGCUUCGUAAUUGUUAUGCGGAAGCAAUUGAACUCAGUAGUGAUGUUUUUGUGAAGAUGCUGCUGCUAGGUGCCGCCUUCGUCAUAAAAGGUUUAACUCUUCGAAUUUUGCUAAAGAUUCAUUUUUUUCAAGAUAACUUAAGUAAUGCUGUCUUCAUUUGGUAUAUAUGGUUAGACAAUACCAAUAUGAAAAAAUAGAAGGAUUUGAAUGAUGUCUUUAUUAGGUAAUAUAAGUUCAAUGUAAAUAUGGAAUUUGAUAGUUCAAACUUACAAGUUAUGGAGAAGAACAACAAGGAAUCUAUAAGGGAAUACGUUUAAAGAUAACGUGAGACAACUUCACAGAUUAAUCUUUCUUUGUUGAAAAAAAAUGAUCAGUUUUUUUUUCCAACACUUUUAAGGCCUUAUACUUUGAAUAUUUAGUUAGAAGCUCUGCACAACAUUUCACUGACCUGGUUGUUAUAGCUGAGAGGAUUGAACAAGUUAUUGGGUUAGAUAAGAUUGCUAACCCGACUAAGAAGAACGGUUUCACUGGAAAAAGAAAAGAAUCUAAGAUUCAUAAUAUCGGAGGUGGUUACAAAAGUAAGAGAAAAAACUACAAAGAACAUCUACCCUCCCUAUAGUUGACCUCUUCACACCAGUUCCUAGAAAUCAACUAUCUUGAAGAUAAAACUAUGGUGUCAUUAGGCCAAGAAUGAUCUACACAUGACCCCAACUGAUUAUUGGAAAGAGACCCCUGUCGAUGAGUUCAUAUGAGAAGAAUGAUUGAGAUAUUCUAGAAAAUUUCAAUCAAUGAUAGUUAAGUGUUUAGUUCUUUUCAUGUAUUACCUUGCUAGAAAUCAUAACUCAAGAUGUUGGCAUAAGAUCUUUAUUGUUAAACUUCUUUUCUAAAGUUUCAAUAAAAUAAUAAGUUUGUCCUUCAAUUGUGUAUCUUCCUUUGAUUUAUGUUGUCAUAAAUCUUGAAAAAAAUUCCCUAUAAGAACUCACAAAUACAUCUUUACAACUUUACAUGAUCUCAUAUCCUCAAUUCAUUUUUUUACCAAAAGCCCCUCCCCCCGGAAUCUUGAAAAAUCAAACUUUCCAUUUCAAAAAUAAUUUGAUUUUUAUUUAAAAACAAUAUUUUGAUAUUUUUUUUAUGGAAUAACAAAUUAAUCAAGUCACUCUUUAAUUGAGGUGAUUAAAUUCUAAACCAAAGUAUAUGAAUAAAAAAUUAAACGAUUACCCUUACACCAUGACUAUUAAGCCAAGUAUUUUAAAUAUAUGUAUAAUGGUAUGUAAUUGAUUUGUUGGUUAUAGACCUAUGAAAUGCAUCUUCUUGCAAAGUCCAAACCAUCACGCUAGAUGAAAUUUAAUUAAUACUCUAUUUUUUAUAAAUCCUAAUACUAGAUGAGUUUUAUUAGUUAGGUAAAGUUUAACUAGGAAUCAUUUCCUAUAAAUAAUCUUAGUUUUAAUGAGGUUUUCCUUUCUAUAAAGAAUUUUAGAACUAACAUAAAUAAGAAUGUUAAGUUUAUAUUAAGAACCUCACCUUCUAUCAAUGUUAUACACCAUAUCAAUUGAUAACAAAGCAUAUUGGCCUAUUUGAUGGAUAGAGAUGAUAGCAAUUCACUUCGUGGUGUAGGGGUGGAGCCCCUUUAGGGCAUUGUGCUAGCUUAAGAGUAGAAACGAGAUUGUUGGGAACAAAGAUUUGAUUGUUUAGAGCAAACCAUAACAGAUCAAACAUGGAUUAUGAAGAUGAGAGGAACUUACCUGGAGAAUUACCUUAAACAAGCCAAAUUUGUGUCAUCUGGCAGAUUAAUUUUCAUGUCAUGUAUAUCAUGAAGAAGAGAGGAACUUGCCUGGAGAAUUACCUUAAACAAGCCAAAUUUGUGUCAUCUGGAAGAUUUAAUUUGUGAUAUGAGUUAUCAACAUCUGGCAGAUUAAUUUUCAAAUUGUAUAUUCCUUAAGAGAGGGUGAAUUUAUUAAGCAACAAGAUCAGGAAAACAAGAAAUGAAAGGAACUAACGUUUCUCAGGAUUUGAAGUACUUUGAAAUCAUGAAAAGAAAAUACAAAGGGAUUAAAUAUUUAUCACAAUUGAAGGAUAGAGCACACCGUUUGUAUGACAGUGAGUACAAGGAUAUGCCAGUCAAUGGAUUGUUGAAGUAAACCUGCUUCAAGUUUGCCUUCCACUUGUGCCUACGCUUUCUGCAAUGUAAAUUCAGCUCUUCGCAGAGACCCGAAAGAAAACUUUGUGGAUAGAUAACAUUUUCUAUGAUAAGAUUGUGAAAAAGAUUUGAUACUGCUUAGCAUAUUUUUUAAAUUCUCAUUCUGAUCAAAUACUUCCACAUCUGUGGUAGCACGGACGAGGCAGCUGAUGAAAGUAAUAUUGUCAUUUACAAAAGUAUCCCCGUACACAUGAUGGCAUUGCUCAAGGCCAGGAGAUUUCUGAAUAAGAUUUCCAUCACAUCAUAUAUUUUAGUAUCCCAUUACUGAAUGUUAUAUCUAACAAUGAGCGUUUUUCUGGAUUCUUAAACUUCACUCCAGAUUGAUGGAGCUCUGUUGUUGGAGCUCUGUUGUUGUGGGUGCGCUUAAGAAAGUAGGUAGUUUUUUUUGCUGGACGGUGCUUCUCUUUCUUAGGAAGUCAAUGAAAUGAAGGACUCCAGAGGAAUCGAUUAUUUUUCAACUGUCCUCUUCUACCCAGUCAGACCAUGGUACUUUAAUAACCCACAAGUAAGCUCAAUAAGGGUACAAUUACCAGGAUUGGCAGCUACACUGGAUAGCUCAAAAAACUUCUGGAGGAUGAAGAAUGGAAGCUGAUUUUCAAGCAAGCACAUAUCAAACAUGACGUCAACUAACUUAAAUGGACGAUAGAAAAUGUGGUCACUACGUCUCCUUUCAUAAAACCCUCUCAAGUACUUCAUGUUCAGUAAGACCAUAAUAAUGAAGACAGCAUCCAGUAAGAUCAUUGUUACGAAGUCUUUCUUACUAAGAUCAAUGGUUUCCGCAUAACUAUCCCGUAAUUCCGUUUCAUUCUCCUUGAUAAUGUUAAUUAAAUCCUCCACACUUACAAAUAAAUUCUGUUCCAGAAACUGCUGCAGGUACAUUAUUUUGUAGUCUUCCAUAGCUUUUAGAUUUUCCUUACCACGGUGAAUUGGGCCUUUGAGACUGCUCGAGGUGUAUAUGCCUUUUCAUUUAACUUCCGCAAUCGUUCCGGGACUCUGUAGAUGCGGCAUGCCUGGGAGAAAGCCUUCUUGAUCUUCAAUUGCUCCCUCAAAGAAUUGGCUAACUCGUUGAUAUCAAGUGAAACUUCAUGGCUGUGAUCCAUUAUCUGCUGGUCAGAACUUGAUGUUCGACCAAUUUUCAAACUGGAAUAAUAUUAGUCAUUAAAAACAUACUUUGUAAACAAACUAGAAUGCCAAUUAAGAGAAGAUACUAUAACCUCAAUAUAUAAUUUUAUAUAAUUUUCUAAUAUAUAUCCUCAAGUUAAAAAUUUAUAUUGAUUUAUAUUAUUUUAUGCUUAAUUUUUAUAAAAUAAAAUAAGUUAUAUAUUUGUAAUAUUUGGCCCUUGUUGAACUAACAGCUACAUUACAAUAUAUAGACUCACUAUUUAGCAUCUUAUUAUAUGGCCCAUUUUGUUUAAUGUCUACCUUUAAAAAUGUGUGUAGGGAUGUUACCCAAUUUAAGAUAAAGAGGGCAAAAAAAAGAAGACAGCCGCCAUAUGAAACCACCCUAGAAAAGUAUUUAAGUGUUUUUAUAAAAAUAAAUUUUAAAGUAUUUUCUAUUUAAAAAUAUAUUAAAAUAAUUUAUUUUUUUAAAAAAUAAUUUUAAUAUUAGCAUAUUAAAAUAUCCAAAAACAUAAAAAAAAAUUAUUUUAUUUUAAAAAAAUUAAUUUUAUAAACCCCGUUAGGAAUGCAAUGCCAAUCAGGGGUUUAGUAUCACUAAUAAAUUGCGAAAUAGCUUAUAAGAAAAAUCAGGAAUUAAUCGAAAACCUUAUAACAAUCGAAGUCAAUGCAUGUGGGAUUUACUCAAAACAAUAAAAAAAUGUCAGUAGUUGAGCCUAGAAGAAUUUAGCAAAAAUCUAAUUGUUUUAGAGUGAGAUGAUUCAGCUUACUGUAUUGUGAGCUUUUGACUUGGAGACCUUCUUGGGACUGUUGUGAGGUUUCCAAGAGCUUUGAUGAAGGUGGUAAUCUCAACCACCAUCAAAAGGAAAGCAAACUAAGGCUCAAAAAUCGGUUGCUUCCAUGGACUGCACUAGUACUGUUGUUCUAGGCAGGCUGUUUGGGAUUGCUGAAUGGUGGUGAUGGUGUUAGGUGCAGGGUUUUGGGUGAAUUUUGAUGGUGCUUGGAGGGUUUCCGGUGGAGGAAGCCAGUGGUUUGGGUGUUUUUUCAGGGAUAAGGCCAGUGGCUUGUGGUGCUAUAUAUUUUGCUGGCAGUGUGUGUGGGUGAUUUCCAUGGAGGUUUUCUAAGGAGGUUUUGAUGGAGGAAAAUUCCUCACCUCAUCUUAUUCUACACAAAAUUCCUUGCCAACCUUUUCUGACUCAGUUAUUUAAAUUAUAUUAUUUUUUAAUAUAUUCUUUUAAGUGAAGAUACUUUAAAUUUAAAAUUUAUAUAAGUUCAUGAUACUGUUGCCUUUUAAUUGCUACCUUCGUGGAAAGAAAGUUGAAAAGUGCAGCAUUUUCCUGUGAUGCGAUAUUGAUUCAGAGAUUUGUAGAAGAUAAGGUCCAAGACUAGAAAAGCUUGUGUGUGAGAAGUUGAAAAGUGCUACUUUUUCCUGUGAUGCUAAUGUUUUACAUGGAAAUUCUGGUCUGAAAUCGACAAAGAUUGUUAUUCGAGUCCAAUUAUUCACAUUAUUUUAAUACUGUUUCUUUCUAAAUUUUUCUGUAUUUAUUUAUAAUUAAAAAAAUUAAUCAAUCAAAAAUAUUUUUCAAUCAAAAAAAUUUAGUUUGGUUUUUAGAAAAGUAUUUUCUUUUUAUUUUGGAUAAAAAACACUUUCUGAAAGUUGUGAAAAAUUUAGAAAUAUCAUAUAUUAAAUUUGGUCCCUAAACUUUUGAUUGCUAUAAAUAUAUAUAUUGUUUUGAAUAUAUUUUUUUCAACUUCAUCCCCUAAAAUUUGAUUUUUAUAUUAACUUUGAUACUUAUUUUUAUAAUUAUUAUUUUUUUUCCUUAUCAUUUUUUAUCUAUCAAAUUUAGUUCUCAUUCUUUUUAUUGUUACUUAUUUUAUUUGAAAUAAUUUAUGAAAUAGUAAUUAUUAUUAUUUUAAUUUCUUCAUCUUUUAAUUUUUUUAUUUGUUAGAUUUGAUCUCUAUUAUUUUGAUUAUAAUUUAUUUUAUUUGAAAUAAUUUAUAAAAUUAUAUUUUUUUUUCAAUUUCAUUCUUAUUCAACUUUUUAAUUUAUAAGAUUGUUUUUUAUUAUUUUAAUAAACUUGAAAAAAAUAAAAUAUUAAUAAGUUAUUUUCCAACUCAUUUUCCAUAACAUAAAUAAAUAUUGAAAAAUAUUUUCUAAUCUAUUUUUUAUCAUAUUAUUAAAUAUUAAAAAAUUAUUUAUUUUUUUAAAAUCUACUUUCUCAAAAAAAUUACUUUUUAAUAAAUAAACGAGACAGUUUUCAUUAUAUAUUUAAUAAAAUAAUGAUAUUAAAAUAUUAUUUGUGAUUUUUGAAUUUUCAAAAAGGAAUUUUAAAAAUAUUACUCUUUGCUUUGUGGAAAGUCAUGCCAGAAAAACAAUACCUGCGGUCACAGUCCUCUACCAUGCCUAAAAGUAGGCUUUGUGGAAAGUCAUGCCAGUUAUUCAUGGAAAUUGGCACGAUUUUUAUACAAGUCUUGCGUUAAAUUUUUAUUCCAUAAACUUUAUUUUGAUUUUAAAUUUAUUUAUUAAAUAUUAAAAAUAAAUAACAUCUUUAUUAAUAAAAUUAAAUAUAUUUUACAUUAUUAAAAUAGUUCCAUGAAUAUACGAAUCCAAUUAUUCAAUUGAAUCACAUGCGACCAUAAAAGUCAAAAGAAUGAUUAAGAUGAGCUUAUUAUAGUCUUUAAAUAUGCUAAAAAGUAGUUAAUAUAUAUUACUUUCACCUUUCCCCUCUUCGGAUUACAUUUAUAGUUUUCCAUUAUCUUACCGAUCAACGGCUCAAAUCCCAUUUCACUGUCUCCUUCCUUCCUCCUUCACCUCUCGCCUUGCCCCUAUCAAAAUCGCCAGAACCUCCUAUCCCUACCCACCAAAAACUUUAAAAUCUCUAGCUUUCCCUCGUUUUCUCGAGAAACAAACAGAAACCCCAAUUUCCCAAUUCAUUUAUUUCAAGGGCACAAAGUAAACAGCAAGAAAAUCCACCGGAGGGAAAGCCCUAAGGAACAACUGGCCACGAAGGCAGCCAGGAAAACAUCUCUUUGGACACGAGCUAAACUUCUAAAACUGCGGUUGUUGAGAGCUUGUAAGUAGUUUAAGUUUCUGUCCAUUUGGCUUUUUAUGACAAGCAUCAUGUUUUUUUUUUUAUUCAAAAUAAUACUACAUGAAAAAUAAUCCUCUUAAGAGAAAUUAUCAAAAUUAUUUGCACAUUUCAUUAUCAUAUUUUUUUUAAUGAUAAAAUAUCAAUUUUUUCUAAACACAAAUAUGCAACUUAUUAAGCAAAUUUCAUAUGAAACAAUAUAAAUUAAUUAAUUAUUUUAAUAAUUAAUUUAUAUCAUUUAAUACAAAUUAUGUGGAACAAGGCACGUCGUUAAUAAUCUUAAUUAAAGAAAUUUAAUACAUCACUUAAUUUGUAUCGCUCAUGUGGUCCCAUAUAUAUAUAUAUUACAGGUUAAAUUGUUGCUAGUAAAGGCAAACUUAAGGCUGGAAAUUGUUGCUAGUGAAGGCAAACUUAAGGCUGGAAGUUUCAUCUCUUUUUUGGGUUUCGUAAUUGAAUUUGUUUUCUCUGUGGUAACAAUUUUUUUGAUCUGCUUUUUUGUUCUAAUACUAGCUACCAUCUCAAUUCAGUCACAGGAUGGAAUCUGGUCGACCAUCAAGUACUAAUCAUGAGCUGAGUCAUCAAGUUUCGCUUGAUAUUGAUAGAUUAGCCCAAUCCGUGACGGAAGAGCUGGAAAUCUCAAAUCCUUUCUCCGACACAUGCUGUAUAUAUAAAGUUCCUGAGCGAUUACGCGAGCUGAACGAAAAGGCCUACACACCUCGAUUAGUCUCCAUAGGCCCAAUUCACCAUGGUAAUGACAAGCUAAAAGCCAUGGAAGACCACAAAAGAAUGUACCUGAAAGAAUUCAUUGCCCGGACCAAGGUAAGUGUGAAGGGUUUUAUUGAAUUGAUCAAGGAGAAGGAAACAAGAUUGCGUAAUUGCUAUGCGGAGACCAAUGGGUUUAGUAGCGAAUACUUCAUAAAAAUGAUAUUAAUGGAUGCUGCCUUCGUCAUUAUGUUAUUGCUGAAGUGGACUUACACAGACUUCAGAGGAAGCAGAGACAGCAUUUUCUAUCCUCCAUACAAGAGUGUAGAUGUAAGGGUUGAUAUCUGUUUGCUUGAAAAUCAGCUCCCGUUCUUCAUCCUCGACGAGUUGUCUAGACUAUCCACUAUAAUCGGCAAUUCUCCAAAAGCUACUCUGAUUGAGCUUACUCAUUGGUUCUUUUCAUGUGAAUGGGGUCCAUGGGCAGUAUGGGAAAAUUUGGGGAGUAUAGAAAUCUCCGAAGUGAAACAUUUGGUUGACUUUCUUACAAUUUAUCAUCGGCCAACUGAACAGCAACCGAUUGAGGAACUUGAGGUUCUAACCGCACCCAGUGUAAAGGAUCUCCACCAAGCGGGGGUCAAGUUUGUGCUGAGUUCAAGAAAAAAUCUUCUUGACAUAAAAUUCGAUAGAAAUAAAGGGAGACUAGAAAUUCCACGAUUAAAGUUAGAUGGAAGAACAGAAAUCAUAAUCAGGAAUAUGCAAGCCUUUGAGCAGUGCCAUGGCCUGACACAUGGUUAUGUUGGUGACUAUAUCUUCUUGAUGGGUCUCUUUGUCAGUGCCAGUAAGGAUGUGGAAAUGCUUGUUGAAAAUCGUAUUAUAGAAAACUGGCUACCGUCUAACGAGGAAGUGGUACAACUCUUUUACAAUCUCAACAAACAAAAUAGUGUGUGGUCAGGUACUUUUCUCUUUAAAGGUCUCAUUAAAGAUCUGAAUGCAUUCUGCGAAAGGCCAUGGAACAAAUGGAAGGCAAAUUUAAAGCAAAAUUAUUUCAAUACCCCAUGGGCAGCAGUCUCUGUCUCAGGAGCUGUUAUUCUUCUCAUUCUGACUGUCAUACAAUCCGUCUGCUCUAUACUUCAAGUAGUUUAGCUUCUGCAAUUUCAAUUCUUUCAUGUUGCUCUGUACUCUAUACUUCAAGUAGUUUAGCUUCUGCAAUUUCAAUUCUUUCAUGUUGCUCUGUACUCUAUACCCAUAAUCCUUGUUUUCAAUAGAAAUUCCAAGUUAUCUCCUCCAGAGGUCAGCAGUCUCGUAAUUGAAUUUGUUUUCUCAGUGGUAACAAUUUUUUUGUCUGCUUGUUUUGUUCUAAUACUAGCUAUCAUCUCAGUUCAGUCACACUCACAUGUGCUGAAUCAUCAAGUUUCGCUUGAUAUUGAUAGAUUACGCGAGGCACCUGUGAAGGGACAGCUGGAAAUCCCAUACGCUUUCUCCACCACAUGUGCCAUAUAUAAAGUUCAAGAGCGAUUACGCGAGUUGAACGAAAAGGCCUACACACCUCGUGUAGUCUCCAUAGGCCCAAUUCACCACGGUAAAGAGAAGCUAAAAGCCAUGGAAGACCACAAAAGAAUGUACCUGCGGGAAUUCCUUGCCCGGACAGGGGUAAGUGAGGAGGCUUUUAUUGAAUUGAUCAAGUAGAACGAAAAAAGAUUGCGUAAUUGCUAUGCGGAGACCAAUGGGUUUAGUAGCGAAUACUUCAUAAAAAUGAUAUUAAUGGAUGCUGCCUUCGUCAUUAUGUUAUUGCUGAAGUGGACUUACACAGACUUCAGAGGAAGCAGAGACAGCAUUUUUCAUCCUCCAUACAAGGGUGUAGAUGUUAUGGUUGAUAUCUGUUUGCUUGAAAAUCAGAUCCCGUUCUCCAUCCUCGAGGAGUUGUGUGGACUAUCCCCUGUUUUCUUCCUUGAACUUUUCUUCUAAAUGACAUAUUUGUUUCAGUAUAAAUUCCAAGCAAUGAAGACUGUAUAAUUUGUUCUGAUUGUCUCUUUGAAACUGAAAUUGUUUUAUUCUAUGCCUUCCAGGCGCAUGCUUAACAUGGGGUUUAAGGUCUUAGCGGCUGUUUUCUUUCAUCUUAGAUUAUUGAUAAAGGAAGAAAACGCACCUCCUUACUCACACACCUUGAGAUUAUUGUUUACAUUACCAUAAAUUAGGACUGAAAGGGAGAAGGAAGGGAAGAAAGAACCCUAUGUUGAAGAUCAAUCUAGGUUUCUCUACAGCACCUCCUGUUUUUUGAAUUCUCUCCACUAUUUCCAAAGUGUAAGAGCGUGUUUGUGUGCGAGAGUGAGUGGGUGAGAAAAAGGAGAGUUUAGGUGGUGUGAGAAUAUUAUGAAAAGAAAAGCAUCUAGUGUGCAAGUGGCAUACAAAUUAGGAGGUGUCCUCGUAUCUUGUUAUUAAAUAAAACCUAGUUUGUUUAUUAACUAAGUUUGGUUUGUUUGAAAUUGUAAUAAUUUUUAAAAUAAUUUCUGAUUUGAAAAUAUUUAAAAAUAAAUUUAAACAUCAGUAUGUUAAAAUUAUUAAAAACAUUAAAAAUAAAUCAAAAACACUUUUAAAAAAACAUCUAAAAACAAAAGAAAAACAAAAAUUAUAACAAACACCCUCUAAAUCAUACACCUCAACGUUGCUAUAAGAUAUUACCAAAAAAAUGAAAAAUAAUAUUACGAAUCUCCAAAACAACACAUCACAAAUUGCAUUAAAUAGCCAUUUGAGCAGAAGAUUAAAUAAAAUCUUUUCAUUUUCACUGUAGCAAGUUAACAAAAAUUAUUUUUUAAAAAUAUAUUAUAAAAAACCAGUAAAGAAUAGCAAUAUAUAAAAAAAAAAACCUCGAUAUUGUGGCUUAACUUAUCAAACAUGUGUUUCGAACCAUGAACUCAAUCAGGUUGGAUAAUUUUCUCUCCUUAAAUUUAUAUUUAGCCUUAAUAAUAAUAAUAAUAAUAAUAAUAAUAAUAAAAGAGCCAAAGCCUAGACUCGCAGGCAUAUGGAUCAGCACGCUUAGGCAACUGCAAUGAGGAGCCAAGGAGUACUGGCAGGCCCUUCAAGCCUCGUUUUAAAAGGGAUGAAUGAUUUGUCAUUGGUUUUUUUUAUAAAAAACACAAGCGACAUGUCGCCUGCCAGGACAGACAACAUGUCGUUUGCAAGUCUAGAUUCUAGCCACCAGCCACCACAACGGUGCCUAGAAAAUUAGGGUAGAGACAUAAAACUCAAUUUAAUUUUCAGAUAUUUCAACUCAAAAACAUCUCACCAACACCCUUAUAAUACUCGAGAAUUAUUUUAUCAAUUCCAAAUACCCAAAAAAUAGUCCAAAAACCCGAAAUCAAAUAAGAUUAGCUUUGGUUUUGUUAGUUUAGAUGUGGUUUUUAAUGCGACAUUGGGGCUCCAAACAACCAACCCGAUCGACAUGAUUGUUUGCUUUAUGCUAUACUUCAAACGAGGUUUAUAAUAGAAUUUUGUUAACUUGUAAAACACUGUAAUUGUAAUGCCUUAAAGCCACUGUAGAGAAUGCUUCCACCUUUGAUGCAUUUGCUUUAUCCUAUACUUGAAACGAGGUUUGAGAAUAUUAUAUUCUAAGUUCUAACCCUUCUAGCGCUGAAUAUUCCUCAAAGAAAAUGGCAGGAAAAAUCAAUAAUUUUAUGGCUUUUUAUGGUUUUAACUACAAGUGCAAAUCCAUUUGAUAGAACAGAGAGGUUCGUUAAACAUUUCAUGCCAUUUCUGCAUCAAUGUUAAAUCCUUCAUGAAGAGAUUGAUCUGGGUUUCGGUCUAGAUAUUGAAUGUGCAGUUACCUCCGGAGUUAGCUUUACUCUCUCGGGUUAUAUAGCCUGAUCUGUUGAUCUUAAUUGUGGAUCAUUUUGGAACUUAUAUUAAAUAGGGAGAGUCUACCAUUCUCGGUACAUUUCUUGAUCAAACUUUUCUCUAAUCAUAAAAUAUCUUUUUAUAUUAAAUCAUUUAAAGAUACCAAAUAUAAGUUUCGGUUUCCCUACCUACACUUUUUUUUUUCUCAAACUAUAAUUUGAUCUUGAAUUUUUUUUUUUUUGGAGCAUUUAUCUAACUGUUUGGUAAUUGUGAUACUAGCGAUUGUCUAGGCACGGUAUGAACGUUGCUGGAACAUCAAGAAUGCAGAUGGAUAGUGGCGAUCAUGUUUCUCUCGACAUUGCCAAAUUAGCAGAGUCUGUGGAAGGAAAGUUGAAAACCUUGCGUUCUUUUUCAGAUCAGUGAUCCAUCUACAGAGUUCCAAAACGACUACGUGAGUUAAAUGGAAAGGCUUACACACCUCGAGUAAUCUCCAUUGGCCCACUUCACUACGGAAAAGAAGAGCUAAUAGAAAUGGAAGAGCAUAAGAGACUGUACCUGAGGGAAUUUCUUGAAUUGAGCAAGGUAAGGGUGAGGGAUUUUAUUGCAGCUAUUGCAGAGAGCGAGACUAGAUUGCGUAGUUGUUAUGCAGAAACCUUCGAUAAACUAAGUAAAGAGGAAUUUGUGGAAAUGGUGUUGUUGGAUUGCUCCUUUCUCAUUAUGUUCUUUCUGAAAGCAUUUUCCCCUGUUAUCCAAAGUAGAUAUAUUGACCGCAUAUUCAAUAAACCAUGGAUGCUAGAUGAAAUAAGUAUUGAUUUGUGCUUGCUUGAAAAUCAGCUUCCAUUCUUCAUUGUUGAGGACUUGUUCAAUCUAUCCAAACUACAGCACCAUUGUGAGGAAUAUUCCAUGAUUAAAAUUAGUUACGCGUUCUUACUUGCUGCAUGGCAAUCAUGGGUGUCAGAGGAAAUUUUGGAGAAAAUCAAUUUGCUUAAAGUAGAGCAUUUUGUUGACUUUCUACGAAUCUGUCAGCAGCCAGCACAGGAGACGCAGCCAAAGAAACUUGCGACUAUAACCACUCCCAGUGUAGCAGAGCUCCAUCGGGCUGGAAUCAAGUUCAAGUUAGGGUCCAGCAUAAACCCCCUCCUCAUAAAAUUUGAUGAUAAUAAAGGGACGUUGGAAAUCCCACAGUUAAAGAUAGGCGAUCACGCAGAAAUCCUAUUCAGAAAUCUCCAAGCUUUUGAGCAAUGCAAUUACGAUGCUAAUAAAUAUGUAUGUAACUAUAUUACCAUGCUCUCUUUGCUUGUCCCCGAUGCCAAGGAUGUGGAAAUACUUGUUAAAGAAGGAAUUAUAGAAAAUUGGCUCCAUGAUAAUGAUGCAGUUUCACGCCUUUUUCGCAAUCUUUCCAAGGAAAAUGUUAUCAACGUCAACAAUUUCUACUUUUCUGGUGUAGUUGAAGAUCUGAACAAGUACUACAGUAAGCGGGUACACAAAUGGAAGGCAGCCUUGAAGCAGAAAUAUUUCCGUAAUCCAUGGACUAUAAUCUCUGUUGUAGCAGCUGCUGUUAUAGUCAUACUCACUAUCAUACAGACAGUGUGUUCGAUCAUUCAAGUUGUUUGAUUAUGCUAUUUCAGUUGUUUUCUGUAAAUUAACUGUGUAUUCUGUUAUCUCUUCCCAUGAAAUUUCUAUAUAUGUUCUUCAAUUACUCAUCAAUAUUUCCUCCCUAUCUUGCUUUCUCUGCUACAUAAUUAGCAUAUAUAAAAUGCAAUCAAUUUUUGCUGUUUCAGUUUACUCAUGUCAUUAAAGUAGCUACAUUAUCCCCCACUUAUUGUUGCCUUGUAAUUUCUAUCUUCUGCUUUUGGCACUUUCUGGUGUAGUUAAAAGAUCUGAACAAGUACUGCAGCAAGCGGAGAGACAAAUGGAAGGCAGCCUUAAAACAGAAGUAUUUCCAUAUUUGCUUCGUUGUGGUAAGAAGCAACUUGAUCAGCUCAACAGUCCUGAUACUGUUGGAUUGUCAUUUUUGAAUGUCACUUUCUCUGAAACUAAAAAACCUUAAAAUUCAAAUCUAUUUUUAUAUGCCAUUUAGUUCUUGUUCAAACAAUUCUGCUCAUAAGACACCUGCAGUCAUUUUCUUCAGGUCUGUCGUAAGCAGGUUUGCAUGUCAUUGUUCUAUGCAAGACAUGCUUGAUGUUUAAGUUAACAUCCGUGUUUUAAUAAAUCUCAGUUUCUUUCAUGCCUAGUUUUUUUCUUCAACAUGGUUAUUGUAUGAAUCAAACUGCAAUCAAUUUGUCAAAUAGUAAAAUCACGGAGAAGGGACAGGAAACGGUCAGGGAUGUUGAAUGAAGAGCAGAAUUGUUGCCAGAUCGAGAAUGGUUAAUUUCCCACAGUAAUUAUAUGGUUUGAGUUGAUCAAGAAGAAGGUUGGGUUUCUAGAUUUUUGUGAAAAGGUAACCAGAUGAUCAUUGUAAGCAGCAGGUAUUGGAGUUGACCAUUCUGACAGAGAAUCAGCUGACACAUUUUUGAUGUCCCAGUCAUCAGUUGUAUGACCAGCAAAUAGAUAAGGGCCAUAAAGUAUUGCUUGAAUUGAAGCAAACUCAGGCCUGUCAUCUGAAUUUCAUGCACAAGAAUUUGUCAGCUCCAUUUUUCAUUAGAGUCCUUCACAUAUCAACACACAGAAGCAUCUUUUAGGGGUUAUCUCGUGUUAUAUCUUUGAUUUUCUCCAGUCUUAUACUGAUAGGCAGCUUAAGGGUUAAUUUGUCAUCAGGGCUCCAUAAUCGUCUAGUGAUUGAUUAGAAAUUGCUUUGAAUGUAGAAGAUGGAAAGAAUGGGGCAAUUGGGAUUCAACUGAAUUGUUUUCCCUUUGUUUCUCAUUUUUAAAGAAAAAAAAAUGUAAAGCAUUAUGCUUGUGCUUCACACCUGAGGCUGGAAUUGUUGGUGGGAGAAACCACUGGUGGUGGCUUUGAAACACUCGGAGGGGAUAAAACACACUGUUUUAUUUCAAGAACACAAGCUUACAAUUAAUUAACACAAAAGCUUAACAAUACACGCCCUCUCUCUUUCUCUCUAGUGUUUCUCUCUAGUCUCUCCACACAGAAUAACAUAAGCUUAGCUUGCUAUUUAUACACGAAUUCAAAACAAGAAAAUUCAACCUUCAAGUGUGAAGGCGGCUGGCGGCAAACAGCUGGUGGCUGGCGGCUGGCGGCUGGCCGGUUGGUGGCUGGGCGGUGACAGCUGGUGGCUGCCUUCCUUGACCAUCUAGAUUGAGUUUAAUAUUCAACAAAUCUCCCCUUUAAACUCAAUCGAGGGAUGUCAUGCCAAGCAUGAACUUUAAUCGGAUAAAUACUUCUCCUUUUAAUGGCUUUGUGAAGAUGUCAGCAACUUGAUCAUUUGUGUUGCAAGAUAUCAGUUGGACUUCUUCAUUCUUCACAUGUUCCCGGAUAAAGUGAUGACGUGUAUCAAUGUGUUUGCUCCUCUCAUGAUACACUGGGUUCUUUGCCAAUGCGAUUGCUGAUCGAUUGUCAAUAUAAAUCUCCGUAGGAUUUUCUUGAGGAAAUCCCAAAAACUUCAGCAUAUUCCUUAACCAUAUUGAGUGGCAUACGGCUGAGUUGGCAGCAACAUACUCAGCUUCACAGCUUGAUAAUGUUACAAUCGAUUGCUUCUUGGAUGACCAUGUGAAAGAUGUGUCUCCCAUGAAAAAGACAAACCCUGUUGUGCUUUUCCUUUCAUCCAAAUCUCUACCCCAAUCACUAUCCGAGUAGCCUACAAGAUUAAAGUCUUUACUUGAGGUAUAAAACAUACCUUCAUUCAUUGUGCCUUUGAUGUAGCGAAGAAUUCUCUUAGCUGCAUUCAAGUGAGACUGGUCUGGCGUCUCCAUGUAUCUGCUGACGAGUCCGACUCCGUAGAGUAUAUCCGGUCUGGUACAUGUCAAGUACCUUAAGCUUCCUACUAAGCUUUUGAAGUAAGCUGGAUCAACAUUUCCAACCUUACUUUUCCUCAAUUCCACUCCAUUCUCAACUGGAGUUGAUACCGGAUUGCAGCUUUCCAUCUUGAACCUUUCAAGAAUAUCUUUGGCGUAACCGCUUUGGGAUACAAAAAUCCCUUCUUCUUUCUGCGUUACUUCCAAGCCAAGAAAAUGUGACAUUAGACCAAUGUCAGUCAUCUCAAACUCAUGUACCAUAUUUUGUUUGAAGUCGUCAAACAUGGUAGGGUUGUUGCCGGUGAAUAUCAAAUCAUCAACAUACAGGCACGCAAAUAAGAUGCUGCCAUUUGCUCCUUUCUUCACAUAUAUGGCGUGUUCAUAUGGACAUUUCUCAAAUCCAUUAUCUUGAAAAUACCUGUCAAUUCUGGUAUUCCAAGCACGCGGAGCUUGCUUCAAACCGUAGAGAGCUUUCUUCAACUUGUAUACUUUGCCUUUAUUUUCAGCUUCAAUGUAUCCAAGUGGUUGUUCAACAUAGAUCUCUUCUUCUAGGAAGCCAUUCAGAAAUGCUGACUUCACAUCGAGUUGAUAGAUCUUCCAUCUAUGUUGUGCAGCUAGUGAGAUCAUCAGUCUGAUUGUCUCUAGUCGGGCUACUGGAGCAAAUACUUCUCCAUAGUCAAUGCCUUCUCUCUGUUUGUAGCCUUUAGCCACUAAUCUGGCUUUGUAUCUUUGCACUUCUCCUUUUGCAUUUUUCUUUGUCUUGUAAACCCAUUUGACACCUAUUGCUUUCUUGUUUUCUGGUAGAUAAGUCAGCUUCCAGGUAUCAUUCUUCUCAAUGGCAUGUAUUUCUUCAUCCAUUGCUUUAAUCCAUUUCUCUUCUGUGACAGCUUCAUUGAAGCUUAAUGGGUCACUAUCUGCAAAGAAACAAAACAAAUUUGUAUCUUCCAUUACUUGAGUGGCAUCGUACAGCUCUUCAAGAUUUCUCAUCCUUCUUGGUUCUUCUGAUGAGGAUGCUGAUGGUGGUGUUGAUGAUGAUGCUCCUGGUGUGUUCCUCCUGUUGAAUACAGGGAAUCUGUGUACCGGACUUUGUGGUUCAGCUGCUGGUACAAUCGGUUCUUCGACAAGUACUGUUGGUACUUCUUCACCUUCAAGGAUCAAAUCCAUAUUGAUCCAUUUGACUGCUUCUUGAUCAUCAUUCCAUUCCCAAGAUUUAUCUUCUUCAAAGAUAACAUCUCUACUCAUAAUCAUCUUCUUCGUGAUGGGAUUAUACAGCUUGUAUCCCAUCCUUCUUUCACCAUAUCCCACAAAGAUGCAUCUCUCGCUUUUAUCAUCGAGUUUUCUCCUUCUUGCAUCUGGGAUCUUUGCAUAUGCCACACAACCAAAGACUCGUAGAUGAGUAACACUUGGUUUGUGACCACUCCAUGCUUCUUCUGGAGUGACUCCUUGCAAACUUCUGGUUGGGCAGCGAUUCAGUAGAUACACUGCACAUGAUACAGCUUCAGCCCAGUAUUGCUUGGGCAACUUCUUUGCUUUGAGCAGACUUCUUGCCAUGUCAAGAAUCGUGCGAUUCUUCCUUUCAGCUACACCAUUCAGCUGUGGUGUAUAAGCAGGCGUUGUUUGAUGUCUGAUGCCUUGUUGUGUACAGAAGGCUUCAAAGUCAUUUGCUGUAUAUUCUCCACCUUGAUCAGAUCUCACGGUUCUGAUCAUGUAGCCACUUUGCUUCUCCACAAUUGCUUUAAAAUCUUUAAAACAAUUGAAUACUUCUGACUUACUCUUCAGAAAGUAUAUCCACGUCUUUCUACUAAAAUCAUCAAUAAAAGUGAGGAAGUACCUAUUCUGUCCAGUCGACAUAGGCGUAAUUGGGCCACACACAUCUGUGUGUACUAACUCCAGUGGCCUCUUUGCUUUCCAGUUGACUUCUUUGGAAAAACUGGAUCUGUGAUGUUUGCUGAGGACACAACUCUCACAGACUUCAUCUGGAUGAUCAAUGUGAGGCAAACCUCUGACCAUCUUCUUGCUUGCUAGCAUCUUCAAGCUCGUGAAAUUCAGAUGUCCAAGCCUCAGGUGCCAAAGCCAUUCUUCACUGUUGGUGAUGACACUUAAACACCUUGCUGCAUCAUACUGGAUGUUCAAAGGAAACAUCCUAUUCUUGGACAUUUUGGACAUAGGCCAUUAAUCUCCAAUUGUUGUCUCUAAUUGUCAGAUGACAAUUCUUCGAGUAAAAAGUAUAUCCUCUCUCCAAAAGUUGACCUAAGCUGAUCAGGUUCUGCUUUAUGGCUGGGACAUAAUAAACAUUGGCGAUGUAGCUGGAAUCGCCGUUCUUCAACUUGAUUGGGAUGCUGCCUUUACCUUUGAAUGGAACCUUUGAGGUAUCUCCAAAAGUAACUAGACCUUGCUUGGUCUCAUCUAGAUCACUAAAUAACUCUCGGUAGCCACACAUGUGAUUGCUGGCUCCAGUAUCUAGAUACCAUAUAUUUUCCUGUUUCUCGCCAAGUUCUUGUUGGACAAGAAAUGCAGCUUCUAUGUCAUCCUUCUCUGCAUAGUUGGCUUGCUCACGUAUCUCCAACGGAGCUUUCCUUCUGCAUUCAGUGCUAUAGUGCCCAAAUUGAUUGCAACUAUAACAUUUGAUAUUCCUCUUGUCACGGUUAUUGUAACCGCCUCCUCUUCCUCUAGGAGUGAAUGCUUGUUGUCCUCGACCUCCUCUGGUGGUGUUUCUACCACCUCUUCCUCUAAAGCUUGUAUUCCAAGAACCUCUUCCUUGGAAUCUCUGGAAUCCUCCUCUGGAUUGUUGACUUCCUGCUUGAGUGGUAUAUCCACUUGUUGAAGUCUCCCCUUGCUCAUAUCUGUCCUUGAGAGACAGCUUUGCUUGUAAGGCAUGCUCGAUGGCCUUAUCUCCAUUUCGCUUUACAAUCUUCUGCUCAUGAGCUUGCAAAGAACUCAUAAGUUCAUCCACUGUCAACUUGUCCACUUCCUUGGACUCUUCAAUGGCGACAACAACAAAAUCAAAUUUUGGAUCUAGGGAUCUCAAAAUUUUCUCAGUAAUUCGAGAAUCGACGAUGGCUUCUCCAUUUCUCCUCAUCUGAUUGACUAUCACCAUAAUUCUUGUGUGAUAAUCAGAAAUUGAUUCUGAGGACUUCAUUUGUAAUAACUCAAAUUCACCUCGCAAAGAUUGAAGACGAAUCUUCUUGAUUCUGUCAGCACCUUUGUACUUUUGCUGGAGAGCCUCCCAUAUAUCAUGUGAUGUUUCAGCGGAAGCUAUGAUCUCGAAUGUAUCUUCAUCAAGACCUUGGUAGAUGAUGGUCUUUGCUUUGUUGUCCUUCUUUCUGUUGACUUUCAGGGCUUGCUUCUGUGCCUCUUGUAAAGCAUCUUCUUCUUCUUUGGACUCUGGUUCAUCAUAACCAUAGUGUACAAUCUCCAAACACUCUUGUGAACCAAGGAAUGCCUUCAAUCUGAUGCACCAACUAUCAUAGUUGUCUUUGGUCAGCUUCGGGAUGAGUGUUUGUGUACUUUCUGUAGUCAUUUUGCUCUUUUAAUGACUAUAUCUCCUUCUGGGAGUUGAAUUUGGCAAAACGGACACUGUAGAUCGAUCCGGAAUGGUCGAAAUAGUCGGGAACCGGUCUGACUUUGUAGCAAUCAGGUCAGAAAAUGGGUGAACCGGUCAAAACACCAAUUCUGGGCGUCGGGCGGUUCGCUGGGUUGAACCGGGAAUAUUCUGCGGAAUAUUCUAUCGGCUCGGCUGCGGCUAAUAGUGGCUCGGCUUAGCGGCUCGGCUUAAAAGGGAAUAUUCUCGGGAAUAUUCUUCGACUCGGCUGGAGGCUUGGCUUGAGGCUCGGCGCGGCGCGGCUUUACCGGCUCAAAUAUGGCGCGCGUGGACGUCACUCGUCUUCUUCCUCUGGCGCGCGUGGGUGCGACUGGGCUACAGUCACCGGAUCUUCAGGCGGCGCGUGUGGAGCACCCCGGUGUCCGAUUGAGCUGAUUUUUGCGGCAGUGAGUUCGUAUGGAGGAGAUCUACACGUUGGAAUGAUCAAAACUUGUUUUUGACAACUUUGAAAAUUCGGCUAUCUCCCAAAAACACUUCUGUUUCUGACGAACGGGGCUCUGAUACCAAUUGUUGGUGGGAGAAACCACUGGUGGUGGCUUUGAAACACUCGGAGGGGAUAAAACACACUGUUUUAUUUCAAGAACACAAGCUUACAAUUAAUUAACACAAAAGCUUAACAAUACACGCCCUCUCUCUUUCUCUCUAGUGUUUCUCUCUAGUCUCUCCACACAGAAUAACAUAAGCUUAGCUUGCUAUUUAUACACGAAUUCAAAACAAGAAAAUUCAACCUUCAAGUGUGAAGGCGGCUGGCGGCAAACAGCUGGUGGCUGGCGGCUGGCGGCUGGCCGGUUGGUGGCUGGGCGGUGACAGCUGGUGGCUGCCUUCCUUGACCAUCUAGAUUGAGUUUAAUAUUCAACAGGAAUUUGCCAAGUUGAAUCAUUAAUUGCUGUCUCAGCACCUUCUAAAUGCGUCCAAGUUGGUAUUCUCAUACUUUUAUAUUAUCAAGGAUAAUUUCUUAUCUUAUUAUUGAAACGAGCUGCAAUUUUGAUUAGAGAAUUUGAAGCCUUGUUUUUUUUAUACAAAGCAUUUGAGUUAUUAUUUAGGAAUUGCAAUAUUUUUCUAGUUGAGUUAAGAUUUUUUUUAAUUGAGUUUAAAAUACUUUUAUUAUUUUUCUAGUUUUAUUUAAUAUCUUUUUCCUAGUAUAAAUAAAGUUAUUUAACUUAUAUUUCAGCAUACUAAUUAAAGAAAAAAUCAGUAAUAGAUUAAUUUUGAAUUAUAGAAAACUGGCUGCGUGAUAUUAAUGAUGCAGUUUUAAGUGUUGUCCACAAUCUUGACAAAGAAAAUCUCAUCUUCCUCGACAAUUUCUACUUUUCUGAAAUUGUUGAAGAUCUGAAUAGAUACUGUAGAAAGCGGAGGCACAAAUGGAAGGCAAGAUUGAAACAAAAUUAUUUCCGUAAUCCAUGGGCCAUAAUAUCUGUUAUAGCUGCUGCUAUUCUCCUCAUGCUCACUGUGGUACAAACUGCGUGCUCUAUCGUUCAAGUUGUUUAGGUCUACUUUCUCAAUUGUUCUGUGUGUACAUGUACUUUACUAUCUAGUCAUUGUUAUCUUCUUAAAUUUACCUGCUGUAUUUCUUGAUGGCAAAACAUCAACAAAAUUUUUAAUAAAUUAACAGAAAAAAUAAGAGGCGUGGCUAUUUCACUGUAACAAAAUUCACGUAAGAACAAUGAUUUGACUUGCUGUGCAACACGGGAAAGGAUCUAGUCAUGCUCUACCAUGAUUGUUUGCUUUAUGCUAUACCUUAUACUUCAAAGGAGGUUUAUAAUAGAAUAUUGUUAGCGUGUCAACCAUUAUAAUUGUAGAAAAUGCUUCCACCUUUGAUGCAUUUGCUUUAUGCUAUACUUGAAACGAGGUUUGAGAAUAUAUAUUAUGUUCUAACCCUUCUAGCUGAAUAUAUAUUCUCAAAGAAAAUGGCAGGAAAAAUCAAUAAUUAUGGCUUUUUAUGUUUUUAACAUAUAUUUGAUAUAACCGAGAGAGGUUCGUUAAACAUUUCACGCCAUUUCUGCAUCAAUGUUAAAUCCUUCAUGAAGAGAUUGAUUUGGUCAUCGGUCUAGCUAUAGAUUGUGCAGUUAUCUCCUCCAGAAUUAGCUUUCCUCUCCCUCAGAUUACACAGCCUGUUCUAUUGAUCUUCAUAUUGGGAAUCGCUGAAACUAAAACUAGUCUGAAUAUUAAGGGAAAUUCAACGUUCUGAUAAGUGACAUAAUGGUUUUAAAUUGGAAAACAUCCCGUAGAAUCUCCUUUAAAUUUUUAAUCUCAAUCCAGUAGUUGAAUCUUCAAUUAUUAUUAUUUUAAACUGUUAUCCUGAUCUUAAAUGACCGGAUCUCUUUUCAGAUUUAGACUUAUCUUUCACAUUUUGUUUGGGACAAAUCUCUAUAUAACUGCUUAUAACUCUAGAUCUCGCAAAUAAUUAAUAUUAUAGAAUAAAACUAAUUAUUAUCUAAGAGGAUCCUUUGCUUGCCAUUGGAGAAAUAAAACAUUUUGGAAUGUAUAUUAAAGAGGAAGAGUCUACCAUUCUUGGUACAUCUCUUUGGACACUAGAGGCAGAGCAAAAGUUCUAAAACUGCCGGUUGUCGAGAGCUUUUAAGUAUGUAAGUUUCUAUACAACAGGCUUUUUAUGAUUGAUAUGUUCUUUUUGUUUUUUUUUGUUCUAAAUAAUAUUGUGUGAAAAAUAAUUUUCUCAAGAGAAAAGAAUUAUCAACAUUAUUUGCACAUUUCUUUAUCAUACUUUUUUUGUCAUGAUAAAAUAUCAUUUUUUCUAACGACAAACUCUUAGAAUUCUUUUCACAAAUAUAAAACUUAUUAAGCAAAUUUCAUAUGAAACAAUAUAUAAUAAUGAUUUAUUUUGAUAAUUAAUUUAUAUCAUUUGAUACAAAUAAAGUGGAACUAUACAAGGCACAUUAUCAAUAACUUUAACUAAAGAAACUUAAUACAUCGCUUAAUUUGUAUCACUCAUGUGGUCGCGCAUAUAUAUAUAUAUAUUACUGGUUAAAUUGUUGCUAGUGAAGGCAAACUUAAGGCUGUAAGUUUCAUCUCUUUUUUGGGUUUCGUAAUUGAAUUUGUUUUCUCAGUGGUAACAAUUUUUUUGAUCUGCUUGUUUUGUUGUAAUACUAGCCAUCAUCUCAGUUCAGUCACAGGAUGGAAUCUGGUAUUGAUAGAUUAAUCCAAUCCGUGAAGGAAGAGCUGCAAAUCUCAUAUGCUUUCUCCGACAGAUGUUGUAUAUAUAAAGUUCCUGAGCGAUUACGCGAGCUGAACGAAAAGGCCUACACACCUCGAUUAGUCUCCAUAGGCCCAAUUCACCAUUGUAAUGACAAGCUAAAAGCCAUGGAAGACCACAAAAGAAUGUACCUGCAAGAAUUCAUUGCCCGGACCAAGGUAAGUGUGGAGGGUUUUAUUGAAUUGAUCAAGGAGAAGGAAACAAGAUUGCGUAAUUGCUAUGAGGAAACCAAUUGGUUUAGUAGCGAAAACUUCAUAAAAAUGAUAUUAAUGGAUGCUGUCUUCGUCAUUAUGUUUUUGCUGAAGUACAAUUGCAGGAAGUCCACAGAAUUCAGAGGUAGCAGAGACAGCAUUUUCUAUCCUCCAUACAAGUGGUUUGAUGUAAGGGUUGAUAUCUGUUUGCUUGAAAAUCAGCUCCCGUUCUUCAUCCUCGAGGAGUUGUGUGGACUAUCCACUAUACUCGGCAAUUCUCCGAAACCUACACUGAUUGAGCUUACUCAUUGGUUCUUUUCAAAUGAAUGGGGUUCAUGGGCAGUAGGGGAAUAUUGGGGGAAAAUAGAUUUCUCCGAAGUGAAACAUUUGGUUGACUUUCUUACAAUUUAUCAUCGGCCAACUGAACAGCAACAGCAUGAGGAACUUGAGGUUCUAACCGCACCCAGUGUAAAGGAGCUCCACCAAGCAGGGGUCAAGUUUGUGCUGAGCUCAAGCAAAAAUCUUCUUGACAUAAAAUUCGAUAGAAAUAAAGGGAGACUAGAAUUUCCACGAUUACAGUUAGAAGACGGAACAUAAAUCAUAAUCAGGAAUAUGCAAGCCUUUGAGCAGUGCCAUGGCCUGGGAUCUGGUUAUGUUGGUGACUAUAUCUGUUUGAUGGGUCUCUUUCUCGGUGCCAGUAAGGAUGUGGAAAUACUUGUUGAAAAUCGUAUUAUAGAUAAUUGGCUAUUAUCUAAAGAGGAAGUGGUAAAACUCUUUCACAGUCUCAACAUAGAAAAUUUAGUGUCGCCAGAUGGUUUUUUCUUUGAAGGUCUCAUUAAAGAUCUGAAUGCAUUCUGCGAAAGGCCAUGGAACAAAUGGAAGGCAAAUUUAAAGCAAAAUUAUUUCAAUACCCCAUGGGCAGCAGUCUCUGUCUCAGGAGCUGUUAUUCUUCUCAUUCUGACUAUCAUACAAUCCGUCUGCCCUAUACUUGAAGUGGUUUAGCUUCUGCAAUUUCAAUUCUUUCAUAUGAAUUAAUUCGCAUGUUGCAUUAAUUGUACCCAUAAUCCUUGUUCUCUUCUUUGUUUUGUUCUUCCAAAUGACAAAGUUGUUUCAGUAGAAAUUCCAAGCAACCAAGACUAUAUAAUUUGUUCUGAUUGUCUCUUUUGUUCUGAUUGUCUCUUGGAAACUGAAAUUGUUUUAUUCUAUGCCUUCUCCGCGCAUGCUUCACCUAAUAUUUAAAUCAAUAAAAGUAUAAUCUAAAAAUCUCAUGAUCUAAAAAAUAAAUAUAAACAAAAAUGAUUGAAUAAACUCACGCUAAAAAAAUAUUAUGCAAGACCCAACAAAUCAAGAAUAUUAUUUAAAAAUUAUUUUUUUUAAUUUUGAAAAAUAAAGUUCACUUGUAUAAAACCAAAAAAAAUAAUUACAGAUGAAUUGGAAUAAUAUCUUGAAAAAUCAAACACAAACAAAAUAAUUCUAAAAAAAACUUAUAUUAAAAAAUGACAUGUAAAAUCGGUGAUCUACGUCAUGAGAUCGGGAUAAACUCAAUGAAAAGAAAUUGAAAGAGAUUACAAAACCAAUAUUUAAAAAAAAAAACACAAAUGCAGAACGAUAAGAUCACAUGACAAAUUAAAUGUCAAAAAAUAAACCAGAAAAAAAAAUUACACAAAAGGAUCUAAAAAAAUAAGGGUGAAAAAAGAACAUUAAUUAGAGGGAAAAUAAAAAAUUUUAAUUGGAGGGUUAAAUUGAAUUAGAAAAUAGCUUUAACAGAAGAAAAAAUCAAAAGAAUGAGGGUUUAACUGUAAAAAAUAAAACAAUUAAAACUUUGAUUAAAAGAUGAAAUUGAAAGAAAAAAAAUUCAAUAAAAUGGCAAAGAAAAACUAUUAAAAAUAAAAAAAAAUAAGGACCAAAAUGAAAAACAAAACAUAUGAGAAAUCAUAAUUGAAGAACUAAAUUGAAAAAAAAAACAAUUCUAUAAAAGGAAUAAGAACAAAAUAAGGAAUUAAAAGAAUGAAAACUAAAAUUAAAAACAAAACAUAUGAGAAAUUAUAAUUGAAGGACUCAAUUUAAAAAAUAUAUAUAUCUAUAAAAGGAAUAGGAAAAAAAUAAGAAAUAAAAGGAAUAAGGACUAGAACUAUAAAAGGAAUAAGAAUAAAAUAAAAAAUUAAAAGAAUGGGGACAAAAUUGAAAAAACAAAAACUUUUCUAAAAGGAAUAAGAACGAAAUAAAAAAUUUAAAGAACGAGGACUGAAAUUGAAAGAAAGAAAGAAAGAGGAUGAUGAUAUACUUUAUAUGUUAGAGGAGAGAGAGAGAGAGAAAAAAAGAAAACAAACGACUACCAUUGUGAAACCGUAGAAAUUUAUAAUUUAAAUAUGCGGAUGUGUAAACUCUCAUGUAAACAUAAGACUGAAAGUGAUAUGAUCUCAAUGAGUGAUGAAAACCAAGAUAAGAAAUAAUAGAUAAAUAAUAAUAUAUAAUGGAGGGGAUGACCUCCAUAAAAAUAAAUUUUGGUUUAGAAUUCAUAAGGACAGAGAAAUUGGUAACGUGUUUUGAUGGAUAAAAUAAUGAGGAAAAUGAUGAAAUGUUUCUAAGGAAUAAGUGAGGUAAUAAAGAAUAAAUUAUAAUGAAGGAUAGUGCAAUGAAAAGGGUAGGACUAAAGGUGCAAGCACCGAUUAAAAAUCAGUGACGUUACUUUGAAACGGUAACAAGUGUUGUAACCCAUUUUUGGGUCCCCAUAAAAAAUAAAAAUAAAAAAGCCAAAGGAGGUUAGAAAAAUAACAGGAGGUAGAAGCGCUCAGAAAAUGGUCGGAAAAUUGGUCAAGGAGGUUAAAAAUACAAAGAUUUGAUUUUACAGUAUAUAUUUGACUGAGGAGAGCCCUGUUGGAAGAGAAAAUUUAAUUUGAAGAGAAAAAGGGCCAAAAUUUGAUGUUUAUGGACUCAAUUGGAUUUUAUUGAAGGUUUAUUUGAAUUUAUAGAGGUUUUGAUUGCAAGGAAAAUUGAGUUUUAAGUCAAUUUAGGCUUUAAUUGGAAGAAAUAAAAGUUCUGGGGUCAAAUUAUAAUUUUUGAGAGUUGAUUUGGUUAAAUCAAGGGCUUAAUUGCAUAAAUAUUGAAGUUUAAGGGCCAAUUAGGGACUUAAUUGCAUAAAUCCGAGACCAGGGACCAUAUUGCAAAAGGCGCGUAACUCCGGGGCCGAAGAUGAAGUUAUGCCGGGACUAAAUUGCAUCAAAUCAGAAGUUUUAGGGUCAAUUAGGGAAUAAUUUUGAACAAAACUGAAAGUCGGAGGACUAAAUUGAGAAUUGGCAAAGAAAUCCCUAUUUUUAUCAAAAACGGCGCCGUUUUGCAUUUAAAAAAAAAAAAAAACCAGUUACUGUUCAUUUUCUUCCCCACCAAGCUGCCCGAGUGGCCGACUUCCAGGCGUGUUUUCUGCCUCGUUUGGCCCCCAAAUCCGACAACAAAUGCACCAACAUCUCCACCUGAAACCCCUGUAUCCCGGAGAAUGGUCCGGUCGGGUCGACAAAUUUAGAAACGGCUCCGUUGAGUGGCUCUAAGUGGCCACCUCGAGCAGUUCACAGCCUGGAAGGGGUUUCAGGUGGCAGCUCGAGGUGCACACUUUGAACCAACGGUUUGGAUUCCUCAAGUCGAAUCAAGGGCUGAAAAUUUUCCCCAAUGUAGACAAUAUGGCCCUCUUACACCUCCUAUAAAUAGAAUCUCUGUUGAAGACCUGAGGGGGAGGGAAAUCGGGUCCAAAGUCAGCCAAAAAACCAGCAUUUUCGCCCAAUUUCUGCAGAUUUCUUCCUUUACUUCCAAUGCCGGCCUCCACCGCUGCAAUCACCGGAAGCACACCGUCAUCCUCAGCCACCGACAACCGUCACAGCCAGCCGCCGCGACACCAACACUACGAGGAACAUAGCACUUCCUCUCCACCGCCACCAGGUUUGCCCCCUUCGUCGCUGUACAUUUCCUUGCAUUUCACUGUUCACUUCAAAAAUAAUUCAGUGGAAUGUUAUUUCACUGUUCACGUGAGGCCUGCUGGGUUCAGCCCAGCCACGUGGGCCCAGCUGGGUCCAGCCCAAAAAAAAACAAUAAUAAUAAAAAAUAAAAAUUCUUCAAAAAUUAUUUCAAAGAAUUUGUGAUUUUUCUGUAAUUUUAUUACUGUAUUUUGGUCAAUAUCGGUUUGUAUUUUUAUACUGUAAAGAUACAAAUCCGGUAUUAAAAUACCCGGUUUUCGUCAACAAAAAAAAUGUUUAUUUAAAAAAAAUGUUUUGUUUUCAUGCAUACGACCAAUACCCUAACAUUGUUUUUACGUUUUUUUUAUCUAAAAAACAAAUAUUUGAAUUUUCAAAAAUGUGUAUUCGCAUGGAUUUCUUAAACACAACAAAAAUCAUUUUUCUUGCAUUUCUGGAUUUUACAACAUGUUUGUAAAACUCCAAAGGGUAUUGGCCAAUAUUCCAAAAAAUAUAAAAAUCUUAUUUUUGGGGAAUUCAUCUAUUAUUCACCACUAAUGUUUGGAUAAAUAAAUCCAUAAAGGACGAAUAUCCAAAAUAUUAUUGGGGAUAAUUUGUUAUUAUUCACCACUAAUGUUUGGAUAAAGAAAUCCUUAUAGGACGAAUAUCCAAAAUAUUAUUGGGGAUAAUUUGUUAUUAUUCACUGUUAAUAUUUGGAUAAAGAAACCCGGAGUGGUAAAUAUCCAAAAUAAUUUUCUAGGAAUAAUAAAUCUACACACAUCCUUGAAAGAAGCCUUGAUUAUAAUCGAGGACAUUUCAAAUUUUUUACUCCACGGUUUGCGAGCCGUGAGAGUACAAAACAUUAAGACAAAAAUAGGUUUUUAAAGCACCCUAGAUUUCGUUCAUCAGAGCAGACUUAUCCUAGGAAACGGAUGGGAUUAGAGAACAUCAACACCAUGACAGUUAUAAGGCAAAUCAAACACCAAGCAGCUUACCUUAGGUAGGGCGUACUAGGGGUGCUAAAACCUUCCCUUUACGCAACCAGUCCCUUGCCUUAGAAUCUCUGAAAGACCAGUUAGGUUUCCUAGUGACCUUAAUACUAGGUGGCGACUCCUUUUUCACAACAGAAAGACCCCAACAAUCAAUCUCUACUACGAGGACGGGUCGCCGCGACGUCGAGCUCUCGGGAGGGUGCGACAACAAGUCCGGUAAACAAAUAAAGGUGGAAAUUUUCAAACAAAUAUAUUCCAAAAUAAUUAAAUGAACUUUAAGGUUCAAAAUUAUAAUUGAUAUGANNNNNNNNNNNNNNNNNNNNNNNNNNNNNNNNNNNNNNNNNNNNNNNNNNNNNNNNNNNNNNNNNNNNNNNNNNNNNNNNNNNNNNNNNNNNNNNNNNNNNNNNNNNNNNNNNNNNNNNNNNNNNNNNNNNNNNNNNNNNNNNNNNNNNNNNNNNNNNNNNNNNNNNNNNNNNNNNNNNNNNNNNNNNNNNNNNNNNNNNNNNNNNNNNNNNNNNNNNNNNNNNNNNNNNNNNNNNNNNNNNNNNNNNNNNNNNNNNNNNNNNNNNNNNNNNNNNNNNNNNNNNNNNNNNNNNNNNNNNNNNNNNNNNNNNNNNNNNNNNNNNNNNNNNNNNNNNNNNNNNNNUAGAGAAAAUUCGACUAGAAAGAGAAGUGCAUAAUUUGGAGGAGCCAAUAAUGAUUCGGUGGCCAUAUCUCUGGCAUCCACUGUUGGAUCAUGCUGAUUUUUGGAUAUAUUAUUCCUCUAACACCCCACUACUAACGGACCGGAGGGAUUUUAAAGCACACAAUGCUUUCAACAUAUCAUCAUCGUAAACUUCCUGGAAAACAAAAGGAAAUACACCUGUAGGGCAGUUUUGGUCGCCGACCGAUUUCUCUCUCUUCCACCAUUGGAUCAUGUUUAUAUUUGGAUAUGUGGUGCAUCUAGAUGUUGCCUUCAUUCUGGAUGGUGGAGAUCGGAAACACACUCUCCGAAAAGGUUUCGUUAAUGUUGAACAGUAGCUCGUCAAUUUUCAGGUUAACUCGGUUUUAUUCAGAUCUAGGGAGAUCCAACUGUUGGAUCAUUUUGAUUUUGAGAUAUAUUUUGCACAACUCUAUGAUAUAUAGUUUGACCGUUGUGUGUAAAACAAUAAUCAGAGGUUGAUGACUUAUUGCGUUUUGAAUCUAUUGCUAGUUUUGGCAAAAUUUAGAAAACUUGAUUAAAAACAUGUUUUGAUGAAAUUAGAAUUGUGUGGUUGUUAGGGUUUAUGGAAGAUGUAAUAGUAAAAUAUGUUAUUGCUAUUAAUGUUGUUAUAGAUUAAAUGUGUAUUCUUUAUAUGAGGGGAAGAAUGAUUAUGGUGUAAGAAUAGAAAGGAACAUUACUAUAUGAACAUGUUAAUUGAAUAAAAGGCUAACUUAUUGGUUGUGUGGAUAUGAAUGGGAUGGAGCCAUGAAGAAAUUGAAAUGAAAGAAAUUUGGAAAAUAAAACAUAUUUAAGGUUGGCCAUAAGUAUAUUUUUGACAAAUUAAUUAGUUAAUGAAGAUUAUCAUUAAUGAUGUAAGAAUAUUAAUUGUUAAGGUUUGUCGCAUAUGUUUAAUUAUACAAGGAGAAAGUGAAAGAAAAUGAAUGGUUCAUUGUUUUAUUGUAUUAAUAAUGCUAAACAAUGAUAAUAACAUAUGUAGUGUGUGUAAAAAAAAUUAGGAGAAAUUCCAAAGGGAUGAGUUUCCUUAUUUUGACCUAAUCUUGCUAUAUUAUAGAGGUAGGGAAAUUGUAUGAAUGUUUUGUUUUAGAAUUGGUUUAAAUUUGUGAUUUAAUGAUGUCAAAUGACCUUAGAUAAUGUUGUUUAUGCAUGAAAAUAAAUUGGAAGUUGUAAAGAAUUUUCAAGGGAUGAAAAUCCUCGUUGUUUAAAAGUUUAGCUAUAAAAAAAAGGCUAUUGUGAUUGUUGAUUUUGAGCCUUAAAACAAAAUAAUUUGGAGUUGGUUUCUUCAUAAAAAUUGUAUUUCUAUGUUUUAGCCUUUCAUAGAGAUAAAUCACGUCCAAAACUGAGUUUUUACAGUUUUAGUUAUGAUUAAACCACUAGAUAGUGUUCUGAGUUGGUUAAGCUAAAUUGAUCGGAAUUAGACAAUUUUUAAUCUCUGCUUGAAAUUGUUGUUAAGUGAUGGUUUUAAUAACAAAAUUAUAAAAAUAAAUAUGAACAUAAAAAUGGGUAAGAGUAUGAGAUUCUAAGGGAAUUCCUUGUGAUUAGUUUGAGAAUACUAGUUAAAUGAGAAUUAAAUGAAGUUAUGAUGUUAGUUGUAUUGUUGAUAAAAACUACAUCCCUGGUAGUAUAGGGGAAGCUAUGGGGAUUGAACAAUUGCAUGAAGUGGCAACACGUGCACAUACUCUAGGUAGGUGCAUCGCACCUUGUCUUUUUAAAUUGUGUAAACUUAUUGAUAAAUUUCAGAAUUUAUUGUUUUAUUGCUUUGAUAAUAUUGGAAUGAAUAAGAGUACCUUGCAUACUUGGAUGUGCAUCGACUAGUUAUGAUAUAAUUAAAAUGGAUAUGAGUAGGGGUGAUCAUUUUCGGUUUGGUUUUUAUCAAAAAACAAAACCAAAACCGGUUUGAACCGACCGGUUUCGGUUUGGUUAUUUUAGAACAAAAACCGGUUUUUUUUGUUUGGCUCGGUUUUUCUGGUUUGGGUUCAGUUUGGUUUUUUCGGUUUCAAGGAUAUAAAACCAAAACUGAACCAAAUCGAUCGGUUUUUUAAAAAUUUUAAUCGGUUUUUUUCACAGUUCGGUUUUUUUGGUUAUUUUUUUUUGUUUUCUCGGUUUUUCAGUUUUUUUACUCACCCCUAGAUAUGAGUACCUUAUGUAGAUUUACAUGUAUCAAACUUGUGAUGAUAUUAUUGGAAUGAAUAAGAGUAUCUUGUGUACAACAAUAUACAUCUAUUAGUUAGGAUAAUGUUUGAACAAAUAUGAGUAUCUUGCGUGCAUUGUUAUGUAUCAAAUUAAUUAUAUUAUUAUUAGGAUGAAUACAAUUACCUUACAUUGAUAGGUAUGGAAUUAGUCAUAAUAACUUUAGAAUAGACGUAAUUAUCUUACAUACCAUUGUAUAGAUUGGGUAUACACAAUGACUUGGAGAUUUAAGGAGAAAUGAUAGAUAAUUGGUCACCAUAGUGUUGGUAGCUAAGGAUACAUUACAAUUAUACUUACCAUCAUGAUGAGGAUGGCUAAGGGCAUAAAUUGAUACUUGGCACUGUGAUAAGGGUGACCAAGGUUAUAUGAAUGAUGUUUAGUAACUAUAAUGUUAAUAACUAAGAAUGUGUGCGAAUGAUACUUGAAAACCGUGGUUAUAAUGCAUAUAAUUUAUUUAUUCUUUCUUUUUUUGGGAUUUGAGGUUCCAAAGCAGCGCAGUGGCUGCCUUUCAGGAGGCAGCAGAGGCGUAUCUUGUUGGGUUGUUUGAGGAUACCAACUUGUGUGCUAUUCAUGCUAAGAGGGAAACUAUUAUGCCUAAGGAUAUCCAAUUGGCUCGAAGGAUUAGAGGAGAGAGGGCUUAAUUGUAAAACUUUCCCGGAUUAAAUGAGAAAUUGCAUUGCUUUAUUUGGAUUCUACUUGAUGAUUUAUCUUUAAAUUAAAUCUCUCUCUAAUCAAUCUUGUUCCCAAAUGGAAAGGAUAGAGCAUCUUUUGCAUUGUAUUGAUCACGCUCCAUGUUUCAUAGAGACCUAAUUGCCCAAAACGUUUGAUUUUAAAUACUAAAAUGUAAUAUAAGAACAUGAAAUCUCAAAUAAGGACCAAUUUGUCAAUAAAUAAAAUAGAAAAAAGAAAAAUUUAAACCAAACAACUAACAAUGAUGAUAAAUGAUCUUUCAAAUCACUCUUAUUAUUUAUGAGUAUCAAAUUGGAUUCUUAGGAUUUUUUUAUUAAAAGAUUUUUUUAAGAAACAUUAUCGUAAAAUUAUCUUCAAGGUCAUAUUAUUGAUGGAAGAUCUCAUCUUAUCAUAAUUAUUAUAAAAAAUGUAAUAUUAUAAUUUUUAUUCAAAGGAGAUAGAACUUAUUAAAAAACAAAAUUAGAUCCAAAACUACACACAACUAGAUUUGAAUUUAUUAAAAAUAAAUAAAUAAGAACUGAAAGGGAUGUCGUGGAAGAAAGAAUCAUCCAUGGCAUAUGAUGAAGGAAAUAAAGGCAUAAAAAAUAAGCCAUGUAUGCGAUCGUGGGAACUGGAAGACAGCAAUGUCGCAAAUAACUAAUUCGAGCCAUAACACAAUUUUAGAAAUAAAUGUAUAGUGAGAAUAUGGUAAUUAUUAUUUUUUAAAAUGAUUUUUAUUUAAAAAUAUAUUAAAAUAAUAUUUUAUUUAUUUAUUUUGAAUAUCAAUAUAUUGAAAUGAUAUAAAAAUAUAAAACAAAUCAAUUUAUUUUUUUAAAAAAACAAAAACCCAAGUUAAAACUCAUUGCAAAACACUCUCCGUAAUAUUGCCAGCAAUAAACAUACGUACACUACGCAUGUAUACAUAGCAACAAGUUUUAGGUUAUACAAGAAGAAGUAAUUAUAUCUCAAAUCUUUAGGAUUUUCUACUAAUUCGAGCCAUAGCAAAAUUUUAAAAAAAAUAUUUUAUCUAAAAAUACAUCAAAUUGAUGUAUUUUUAAAUUUAUUAGAUGGUUUUGCUACAACCAUAUAAAAAUCACUUGAAAAUAAUCAAAUCAACGAAUUUUUUCAUGUUAAGAAGAACUCUCACUCAAUCAGGCUGCCAAACACAUAAUUAGCCACUUGAGAAACAUCUAACAACCCUAGCUGUAUGUUAUGGCGUGAAUCUCUGGCAACGAUACUGCAAUGGAGGAACUGGACAAACUUUAUCACUCGAGCAUUGUACGUAUUGAUGGUAUAUUAUAGAAGAAGAAGAUCAUGCUAUCCCUAGGCCUCACCUUAGAUUAAAAUAUGCUGUAGCAAUACGUGACGGAUUCUUCAGAUUAUUUAGGGACCAAGCAUUAGGUGUUUAAUUAGUGGAAGAAAACACAAGCAAAUUUGUCUGGAUAUUAUUUUCAAAAUCUUAAAUUAGUUUUAUAGAAAAAACUUAUAAUAUUGACAAGUUUUAGAGUUUUCAUUGCAUGAGUAUGGGCCUUGAGUCUGGGGUUGAUUGACAAGCUUUGGCAAAGCUCAUUAAUGGGCUGGGUUGCCCAGGGAAAUUAGUCCAAGAAAUCUCUCCCUAGUCCCUCCUCUCCGCAAAAGCUAGAGAAUUUUCAAGGUCUCUCUCUAAUCUUGAAGACAGUCUCUUCACCAUCCUACUCAGCCGCCCCAUGUUAAGCAGCAACUCACAAAGAGGUAUCCUACUGCACCUAAAUUCUCUCCUUAGAUGAAACGAUUGAUUUGAAUUUCUUUGAUGUUUUGAUUUGUCAAUGUUUCCAUUACUGGGUUUUAAGCGUUUCUUAGGCGAGGAAGCAGAAUUUGAUAGCCUGGAACUCAACUAUGUAAUUGUUUUAUGCUAUAGUUUUGUGUUCUAAUUGAUAUAUCGGCCUGAAAUACAUCAGUAUAAUCGAUCGCUUUAGAUGUGAUAUUGGUCCUUGAACUUAGUUCAAAGGCUUUCAAGAACUAGGAGAGUUCACUCGAAUGAAAGCAUAAACAUGAAUGAUUUCUCUAGCUGGAUUAUGCUCAGUGUUAAGUACAGACUUCAGAAUGCUCUCAUCCUUCAGAAAGCUAUUUCUAAUGCUAGCUUAACUUAAGCUUGUAGUAACUGGGAUCUCUUGUAAUUUCAGUUCAGUUUUCUAUGAUUCUUCUUAUCUUUUUCAGUAGGGUUGAGCUAGCACUUGAGUUCCUUUUUUCUUUAAUGAAAGAGUUAAAGAAAAAUUAGGAAGUGUUGUAAUUUGUGAUUUGCUGAUGCUAAAACUAGCAAUCAUCGUGAUCCGUAGAAUGGAGAUGAUUGGGACAUCAAGCGAGAAGAUGAAGACAGGCGAUCAAGUUUCGAUUGAUAUUUACUAGUUAGGGAAGACUAUGAGAGAGGAGUUGGAGAUCUUGCAUCCUUCACUUGAUGACUGUUGCAUUUACAGAGUCCCUAAGCGGUUGCGAGUGUUAAAUGAAAAGGCCUACACACCACAAGUUGUCUCUAUCGGCCCACUUCAUCAUGGCAGGGAAGAAUUCAAAGCAAUGGAAGAGUACAAAAGAAGGUAUCUGAAAGAUUUUCUUGCGUGGAGUGAAUUAAGCUUGGAGGAUUUGAUUGGAGUUACUGAGAUGGAAGAGACAAGGCUUCGUAAUUGUUAUGCGGAAGCAAUUGAACUCAGUAGUGAUGUUUUUGUGAAGAUGAUGCUGCUAGAUGCCGCCUUCAUCAUUAUGAUCAUGCUGAAAAACUAUUUUCUAGACUUCCAGAGCAGCAACGAUCGUAUUUUCAGUAGACCAUGGAUGAUUCAUGAUAUAAGGUUUGACAUGAUCUUGCUUGAAAAUCAGCUUCCAUUCUUUUUUCUUAAUGACUUGCUUAAGCUAUCCAACCCUUAUAAAGGAUAUUCCUUGAUAGCAUUUACCCAUGGGUUCUUGAAAGGUGCAUUGGGUUCAUGGGUGACAGAUAACAUAUUAAAUGGUAUCAAUUCGUCAGAAGUGCAACAUUUUGUAGACUUUCUAAGAAUCUGUCAGCAGCCAACAAAGCUUCCUCAGCCAAGGAAACUCAAAACUCUAAACAUGCCGAGUGCAGCAGAGCUCCGUCAAGCUGGAGUCAAGUUAAAGCUGGGGUCGAGCAAGAAUCUAUCUGACUUAAAAUUCAAUAAAAGUAGAGGGAGACUGGAAAUUCCACGAUUACUAGUAAUUGACCAGACAGAGAUCUUAUUCAGAAAUCUUCAGGCAUUUGAGCAAUGCAAUUGCAGUGACAAAUAUGUGACUAACUAUAUUACCAUGAUCAAUUUGCUUGUCUGUAGUACCAGGGAUGUGGAAAUACUUGUUCGGAAAGGAAUUAUAGAAAACUGGCUGCGUGAUAAUGACGCCGUUUUAAGUGUUCUCCACAAUCUUGACAAAGAAAAUCUCAUCUUCCUCGACAAUUUCUACUUUUCUGAAAUUGUUGAAGAUCUGAAUAAAUACUGUAGAAAGCGGAGGCACAAAUGGAAUUAUUUCCGUAAUCCAUGGGCCAUAAUAUCUGUUAUCGCUGCUGCUAUUCUCCUCAUGCUCACUGUGGUACAAGCUGCGUGCUCUAUCAUUCAAGUUGUUUAGGUCUACUAUCUCAAUUGUUCUGUGAUCUGUAUGGCCAAAACUUAUCAAACUGCGGUUGUUGAGAGCUUGUAAGUAGUUUGAGUUUCUGUCCAAUAGGGUUUUUAUGAUAGACAUCAUGUUUUUUUUAUUCAAAAUAAUACUACAUCAAAAAUAAUUUUCUUAAGAGAUUUCAUCAAAAUUAUUUGCACUUUCUUUAUCAUAUAUAUUUUUUAAUGAUAAAAUAUCAUUUUUUUCUAAACACAAACUCUAAACACAAAUAUACAACUUAUUAAGCAAAUUUCAUAUGAAACAAUAUAAAUUAAUAUAUCAUUAGAUACAAAUUAUGUGGAACAAGGCACGUCGUUAAUAAUUUUAAUUAAAGAAAUUUAAUACAUCACUUAAUUAAUUUGUAUCUCUCAUGUGGUCCCAUAUAUAUAUAUAUUACAGAUUAAAUUGUUGCUAGUGAAGGCAAACUUAAGGCUGGAAGUUUCAUCUCUUUUUUGGGUUUCGUAAUUUAAUUUGAUUUCUCAGUGGUAACAAUUUUUUUGAUCUGCUUGUUUUGUUCUAAUACUAGCCAUCAUCUCAAUUCAGUCACGGGAUGGAAUCUGGUCUACCAUCAAGUAUUAAUCACGAGCUGAGUCAUCAAGUUUCGCUUGAUAUUGAUAGAUUAGCCCAAUCCGUGACGGAAGAGCUGGAAAUCUCAAAUCCUUUCAUAAAAAGUAUUUUUUUUCUUAUUUUUUUUCUUGUUAUUUACCUUUGUUCUUGUAUUUAUUCUCGUAAAUUAGUUACCGAGUCUUCCAACUUCCAACGUCUUCAUUAUUAUGGUCUUACUGAACUGGAAGUUCGUGUGCGUGUCUUUUGGAAGUAGACGUAGUGAUCACAUUUUCUUUCGUCCAUGGAAGUUAGCUGACGUAGUGUUUGAUAAAUACUUGCUUGAAAAUCAGCUUCCAUUCUUCAUCCUCAAGAAGUUGUUUGAGAUAUCCAGUGUUGCUCCAAUCCUGGGAAUUGUACCAUUAUCAAGCUUACCUGUGGCUUCUUACUAUGGAGUUGGGUUGACUGGGUAAAAGAGGACAGUUGGGAAAUAAUCAAUUCUUCUGGAGUCCUAGAUUUUGUUGACUUCUUAAGAAAGUGUCAGCAACCAACAGAGCAGCACAGUCUAGCGGAAGAAGAAGCUUAUUUAAGCGCACCCACUGCAACGGAGCUCCAUCAAUCUGGUUUGAAGUUUAAGCGUCCCGAAAAAAGCUCAUCAUUAGACAUAAGAUUCAGUAAUGGGAUUCUAGAAAUUCCACAACUAAAAAUAUUUGACCAGACAGAAAUCUUAUUCAGAAAUCUCCAGGUUUUUGAGCAAUGCCAUGGCAGGAAUGCGCAUACUUUCAUAAAUGAUUAUAUUUAUUUCAUCAGCGGCGUCGUCCGUGCUCCUAAUUAAUGAUGUGGAAGUACUUGUUAAUAAUGGGAAUUUAACAAAUAUGCUAAGCAGUAACCAAGCAGUGUCAGAUCUUUUUAAGAGUCCCAACAAAGAAAAUAUUUGCUCAACUAAUAAUUUUCUUUGGGGUGUCUGCGAAGAGCUGGAUUCACAUUGCAGAAAGCCUUGGCACAAGUGGAAUAAACAUCCUUUAAUUGAAGAUAAUUAUUACUAUUGUAAAAGCGGAUCUCAUAAAGGUUGAAGAUGUUGAAAAAUGCCAUCAGGGUAGAUAACUAUAGAGAUGAAGCUUCCACAAAACCCUUAUACAAGUCUUGCAUUAAACUUUAUAGGUUUCUAGCUUCUGUUUAAUAAUGGAGACCCUAGCUGUGUUUUACAUGGAAAUUCUGGUCUGAAAUCGACAUGGAUAGGGCAGAUGAGUAUCCGAGUCCAAUUAUUCACAUUGCUUUAAGAAACUCUUUUUAAAACAUCAUUAUCGCGACAGCUUUCACGAAUUAAUUAUGUAUUUUGGUGAAGACUCGUGUUAUUAAAGUCAGGCAGCAUCGUUCGGCUCAAUAUAUAUUUAAUAAUAAAAUAAUAAUAUUAAAAUAUUACUUUUGAAUUUUCAAAAGGGAAUUUUAAAAAUAUUAUUCUUUGCUUCGUGGAAAGUCAUGCCAGAAAAGCACUACCUGCGGUCACAGUCCUCUACGCUGCCUAAAAGUAGACUUUGAUGUUUUAAAAUAUUAUUUGUGAUUUUUGAAUUUCAAAGGGGAAUUUUAAAAAUAUUAUUCUUUGCUUUGUGGAAAGUCAUGCCAGAAAAACAAUACCUGCUGUCACAGUCCUCUACCCUGCCUAAAAGUAGGCUUUGUGGAAAGUCAUGCCCCGCAUGUGAAAUCGACGUCAGAGGUAGGGCAGAUGAAUAUACGAAUCCAAUUAUUCAAUUGUAUCAUCACAUGCGACCGUGCUAAAAAGUAUGGAAUAUCGCAAUAUUGUUAAUACAUAUAUAGAAACUCAUAACGACAUAUUCUACGUCAAAUUGCGAUAUUCCAUGCUAAAAAGUAUGCAAUAUCGCAAUUUGUCCCACAUGGAAGGAUUUAUAUAUAUAUUCAUAAUACUCAAAAGAAUGGUUAAGACUAUAGUCUUUAAAUAUGCUAAAAAGUAGUUAAUAUCGCAAUAUUGUUACGUAGGAUUCAACUCAUAAUGACGACUAUUAAGAUUAGUAUUUGCAUUACGCUGGACGGGUCACUUUGAGACAAAACAUGGCCGCCAUUGAUUGAUUUAAAAAAAUAAUAAUAAUUGAGAGUUGACUGAGACCUUAAUAUUGUCGUGAAAACACCUUUUAAAAAAAUUCAUAAAUCGUCCUUCUAACUUUCUUUUAAUUUUUUUUUAUUAAAACAACGGGUUUUUUUUUUUUCCUUCAUCUGCCAAUCAAUCGUCGACCGCGUUCCCAGCUAGCUCAAUAACUUGGGUAUCAUGUUUCAUCAUAUCACAGCAAAUGAACACAUCUUUAAUUAAGAAACGACUGCAUUAAUUGUUUAAAACCAUAAACUUCCCACUCCAGAUCAAAGGCACUUUAGAAGCUUUUGUUGUUUUUUCCUGUCAUAAAUAUUCAGUAAAAAUGCAGAGUGUUGUUUCGAGGGAUUCGAGAGUUGUUCGAAAAAACUUUAAAUUAUGAUCCCGUUAUCAUAUCCUACAAAUUGAAAGGCUGCCCAAAAAGCUAAGCAACUUGUCAUCUUAUUGAAGUAAUUGAGGGCCAAUCAUUCAAAAUAAUAUACUACAAUAAUUAUUUAUUGAUUAUUAAGCUAAUUGAUGAAUUGACGAAAAUAAUAAAUAUCUCACAAAUGUCAACAAUCUUUCCUAACUUCUAGUUUUUCUUAUUUGUAAUAUUUUUAAGGGGGCACAAUGAAAUAAUAACAACACUGAAUUUUCCUUACAUUCAAAUAAAUGCAUACAUUUAUGAGAUAUUUAUUAUUCCUGCCAAUCCAUCAAUUACCUGAAUCAAUAAAUAAUUCAUGAUUCAUGAGUUUUGCUUUUCAACACCACUCAAAACGAUUUCUACACUUUUUGAAUGAUGGGCCCUCCAUUAUUAUUCAUCUCUCCAGAGAUCAUAAAAGGGCCAGAGAGCAAGGCCACGUUUAUAUUCCGGAAUUCAUUUUUUGGGAAAACACUUUCCAAACUUUCUUGUGUUUAUUUGCCAUUAGAAAAGUUAAUCAACGGAAAACAUUUUCCGGUCAACAGAAAACACUUUCCAGUAAACGGAAACACUUUUCGGUCAACGGAAAACACUUUUCAGUCAAAUAAAAAUUUGGUUUGAUUUUCAGGAAAUUGUUUUCCCUUUUGGCUGUGUUUAUUUUCUGGAAAGUGGUUUCUGGGAAACCACUUUCCAAACUUUCCUGUGUUUGUUUGCCAUUAAAAAAGUUGGUCAACGAAAAACACUUUCCAGUCAAAGGAAAAUUUGGCUUGGUUUUCAGGAAAGUGUUUUCCUGAAAAAUUUGGGCGGAAAACACUUUCCGGAAGUUGUGAAAAAUUUAGAAAUGUCAUUAUUUGCUGAUUAUAUCAAAUUUGAUCCUCAAACUUUUGAUUGUUAUAUAUAAUUUGUUUUGAAUAUUUAUUUUUCAAUUCCAUCUCUUAAAAUUUAAUUUUUAUAUUAAUUUUGGUCCUUAUUUUUAUAAUUGAUAUUUGCUUUUUCCUUAUCAUUUUUUUAUUGAAAUUUUUUAUCUAUCAAAUUUGAUCCUUAUUCUUUUGAUUGUUACUUAUUUUAUUUAAAAUAAUUUAUGAAAUGUUAAUUAUUAUUAUUUUAAUUUCUUCACCUUUUAUUUUUUUAAUUUUUUAGAUUUGAUCUCUAUUAUUUUGAUUAUUAUUUAUUUUAUUUGAGAUAAUUUAUGAAAUUAUAUUUUUUUUCAAUUUCAUUCUCAUUCAACUUUUUAAUUUGUAAGAUUUGUUCCUCAUUAUUUUAAUAAACUUGAGAAAAAUAAAACAUUAAUAAGUUAUUUUCCAGCUCAUUUUCCAUGACAUAACCAAACACUGGAAAAUGUUUUCCAACUUAUUUUCCAUUACACUACCAAAUAUCGGAAAAUACUUUCCCGGAAUUCACUUUCCCUGAAUUCACUUUCCAAAAGGAAACUACUUUCCAGCAAACAAACGGGAUCCAAGCAUUAAUUGUCAACUUCACAUUGCUAAGCAAGAUUCUCCUUCGAUCUGUUCAUGUAGAAAAGAAUAAGUAAAAAAUUAAGAGUUAAUUUCUCCUCCUAACUUUAUUCUUUUGAAAAAAAUAAAAUCUGGUAUGGGUACGUAGAGAAACCAAAACAUAUAUUUUUUGUCAUUAGAAAUAAAAAAGUAUUCUUUUUCUAAAAAAUAUUUUUAAAACAUAAAAAUAAAAAAAAGGUAUUAUUCUUUUUAUAUGUUAGAUAUAUGAAAAUCUACCUUUUAAAGUAGUCUUGGUGUUUUUGGUUGGGCUUGAGAUGAAUAUGGCAUGCAUUUUGCAUAUCCAUUCGAAAGUAUAUAGAUUCCGUCAUUUUUGGUUUCAAUGUUACUCGCUACUCACUCAUUUUCUUUUAUAUUCUUCUCACUGGAUUUUCCUUAGCGGGCAACAUAGCUAAGCCCCUCGAUCUCCAUAGCUUACUUAGUGCUGUAUCAAUUUUAUUUUCUUAAAAAAAUCUGGGUUUUGGGCUAGAUUUAGCCGGAUCAACCAUUUAUUGGAUUACUCAAGUUUGUCCACGUCAGUGACAAAACGGGUUGAAUUUAAUAAUUAUAAUUACAUGUAUAAUUACAAGAAGAUGAAUAUAUACAUGUCUAUAACUAUGAUAAUAAAAAACAACAAAUAGAGAAAACUUGCAAUGAAAAUGUGUUUUUUUAAAAUUAAAUAAAAACGGGGAACUUGUUGAUCGGUCUACUCUAUAAUUAUCCGACGUCAUUUCUGCAGUUAUGAAUCAACCAACCUAAUGUUGGGUGGGAGACAACGUAAAUGUCACCUGUCACAGCAAAUAAAUUUUCUUAAAAUCUUCUGUCCUUACCUAUAUUAUUUCUCAUAUGAUCAUCCAAAAGUUUGGGAGAAAUAUCCCAAGGACAUGCCAAAUAUAUUAAAUGGCAUCUUAUCGCCCCCACCUACCAAGAUUUAUAAUAUUGUUUCUUUCAUUUUAUUUAAAUAACUUAUUAAUUAUAAUAUUGUUGAUUUAUUUUAUCAGAUUUUAAUGUAAUUUAAUUUAUUAACUAGAAUUGUCAAUAUAUAAUUAAUUAAAAAAAUACUUAUAAUUUUACUAUCUCAAUUUAUAAACUAAGUUUUUUUUUUUUAAUGUCAUGUUAAAAAAAAAAACGUUUUUGAUAAACUUGAUGUGAAGUUGACAAUUGCUUGGUCGCCUUUUUAUCUCUGGAGAGAUGAAUAAUAAUGGAGGGCCAAUCAUUCAAAAAUAUGGAAAUUGUUUUUAGUGGUGUGGAAUAGGAAAACUCAUGAAUCAUUAAUUAUUUAUUGAUUCACCUAAUUGAUGGAUUGACAGGAAUAAUAAAUAUCUCAUAAAUGUAUGCAUAAGGAAAAUUUUCUAUCAGAGGAAGCUGGAUGCUGCCUUCGUCAUUAUGUUUUUGCUGAAGUGCAAGUACAGAGACUUCAGAGGAAGCAGAGACAGCAUUUUCUAUCCUCCACACAAGAGUGUAGAUGUAAGGGUUGAUAUCUGUUUGCUUGAAAAUCAGCUCCCGUUCUUCAUCCUCGAGGAGUUGUGUGGACUAUCCACUAUACUCGGCAAUUCUCCGAAACCUACACUGAUUGAGCUUACUCAUGGGUUCUUUUCAAAAGAAUGGGGUUCAUGGGCAGUAGGGGAAUAUUGGGGGAAAAUAGAUUUCUCCGAAGUGAAACAUUUGGUUGACUUUCUUACAAUUUAUCAACAGCCACCUCAACAGCAGCAGAAUGAGGAACUUGAGGUUCUAACCGCACCCAGUGUAAAGGAGCUCCACCAAGCGGGGGUCAAGUUUGUGUUGAGUUCAAGCAAAAAUCUUCUUGACAUAAAAUUCGAUAGAAAUAAAGGGAGACUGGAAAUUCCACGAUUACAGUUAGAUGACAGUACAGAAAUCAUAAUCAGGAAUAUGCAAGCCUUUGAGCAGUGCCAUGGCCUGUAUGGUUAUGUUGGUGACUAUAUCUUCUUGAUGGGUCUCUUUGUCAGUGCCAGUAAGGAUGUGGAAAUGCUUGUUGAAAAUCGUAUUAUAGAAAACUGGCUACCGUCUAAUGAGGAAGUGGUACAACUCUUUUACAAUCUCAACAAACAAAAUAGUGUGCGGGGACGUUUUUUUCUCUUCAAAGGUCUCAUUAAAGAUCUGAAUGCAUUCUGCGAAAAGCCAUGGAACAAGUGGAAGGCAAAUUUAAAGCAAAAUUAUUUCAAUACCCCAUGGGCAGCAAUCUCUGUCUCAGGAGCUGUUAUUCUUCUCAUUCUGACUGUCCUACAGUCCGUCUGCUCUAUACUCCAAGUAGGUUAGCUUCUGCAAUUUCAAUUCUUUCAUACCGCAUGUUGCAUUAAUUGUACCCAUAAUCCUUGUUCUCUUACUUGAGGUACUUUUCUUCUAAUAAAUGACAAAGUUGUUCCAAGCAAUGAAGACUGUAUAAUUUGUUCUGAUUGUCUCUUAGAAACUGAAAUUGUUUUAUUCUAUGCCUUCCACGCGCAUGCUUAACAUGGGGUUUAAGGUCGCAGCGGCUGCUUUCUUUCAUCUUAGAUUAUUGAUAAAGGAAGAAAGCAUAACUCCUUAGGUCGGUUUGGAUCUGGUUGCGGUUACUUUUUAAAUUGUUUUUCAUGCUAAAAUGUAUUAAAAUAAUAUUUAUUUAUUUUUUAAAAAUUAUUUUUGAGAUCAGCACAUCAAAUCAAAACGAUCCAAAAUACAUAUAUAUAAAAUAUUUUUUAAGAAAAAAAAUUAAAAUUUUUAGAAAUGCUGAUUGGCCCACAUUUUCAAACGUUAUUUUAAUCAUCAUGCCAACACACCUUGAGAUUAUUGUUUACAUUAUCAUAAAGUUAGAUUCACACAUCCGACAAUUAGAGUGGAAAAUAAAGUCCCAUAAGAUGGAUUUCAAAAUCAAGCCCUCUAGGGUAAUUUUUGUUAAGAAAUAUAUUUAUUUUAUUUAUUUAUUAAAAGUAGGAUAAUAUUUUUAAUUUAUCUUAUAUAUAACCUCAUAGCAUUAAGGUUAAAAACAUAACUUUAAAAUAAAGUGAUCAAUGAAACCUUAACCCCCUUCUCUCUUAUAUUCGUAUUUCUCUUUGUUUGAAACAAGUUGCUUAAUAUGGUAUUAGAGCAUGGUUCCAUGGAACGAAACUUAAUUUCAAACACAACUUUCAUGAAUUUUUUGGAGUGAUAUUUUUUCAAUUUCUGCAAUCAGUUUUUGCAAAUAUGAUAUUUUGUCUUCUCUUUAGUUUCUACAAUUUAGUAUUUGCAUUCUAUUUCUGCAAUUUUUUUGGGAGUGAUCAUAUAACUUUGAGAAGAUAUUUAUUCAGUUUUUGUAAUAUUUAUUCAUUUUCUGCAAUUUAGUAUUUUUUUUUUGCUUCUUUUGCAUUCUGGUUUUUUUUUUAUUUGUUGAUUAUGACUACUGAAAGAGAUAAUUCGCUUCAGUCGACUGUGAGUGUGAGGUUAGAUGAAAAGAACUAUUCAUAUUAGAGUUAUGUAAUGAAAAAUUUCGUUAAGAAUAAAAAGAUAUGAAGAUAUGUUAAUGAAACUUAUGUUAUAUCUAAGAAUAUUGAUUAAAGGUAUGUUAUUUUGAUAAAUGUAUGGGAAGCAAACAAUGCAAAGAUUAUUACCUGGAUUAACAAUUAUGUUGAGCAUUUCAUAGGUACACAGUUAGCAAAAUAUGAGACAACAAAAGAGGUUUGAGAUCAUUUGCAAAUGUUAUUCACACAAUCAAAUUUAUCAAAGCAAUAUCAAUUAGCAACAUUGAUACAAGUCAUAUCAUUCUGUCUUUAUAUGUUGAUGACAUGAAUAUUAUUGGUGAUGACAUUGAUGAUAUUUCAGUUUUAAAGACAAAGUUGGUUAGACAGUUUGAAAUGAAGGAUUUAAGCUAUCUUCAAUAUUUCAUGGGUAUUGAGGUAACUCGUUCACUCAGAGGUUACCUUAUUUCUCAAUUAAAAAUAUUACAGAUAUUUUUGAGCUGGCUAGACUUACUAACAAUAAGACUAUAAAUACUCUCAUUGAGGUUAAUGCAAUAUAUUCUUUUUCGGAUGGUUUACAUUUGUUAGAUCCUACUUUAUACCGUACUAUUAGUGGGAGCUUGGUAAAUCUCAUUAUUACUUAUCCAAAUAUUGUAUAUGUUGUUCAUAUUGUUAGUUAGUUUGUUGCUUUUUCUACUACCAUUUAAGAGCUUAGUUGAGAGUUUUAGAUAUUUGACAUGCAGUCGUUCGUAUAUUCUUUAUAGAAUAGGACUUGUGAGUAGGUUUAUAAAAACAUCAACUAUAACUCAUGUUUCUACUCAAUUUUUAAUUUAUGUUUUUAAUAAAUUGUCAGAAAAAAAUCAAAAAUAGUAAAAAAAUAAUAAAAACUCAAAAAAUACAUUCUUGAUAUAUUUGUAUUAUUUUCAUCAUUUUCAGUAUUAUCUUUAAAAAAAUUUAAAUUUUAAAAGUUUUUUAAAUACAUUCAAAUUUUAAUAUAUUAUUUUUAAAAUUAUUAAUUUUUCUUGUUGAAUUUUAAUGUUAAAUCAAUGUUGAUGUCGCGUUAUCAGAAAAUAAAAAUAUAAAUAUUUUACCAAGCAUUUGAAAUAAAUAAUAUUUUUACUAUAAUAGUUAAUAAUAUUUUACCAAGCCGCCGCCGCCCUCUCUUCCCUGGUUUUCUCCCAGAACCAUAGCCCCUCACUCUCUUCCCCAGUCGCCAUUUCCAGCACCUAAAACCAGCCACUCUCCUUUCUCCCCCCAGCCGCCAGCCACACCCAGAGCCCACAUUUCCUCCCUCAGAUCCACCCGCACUCUCCCUUCUUCCCGGCCACUGCACCUCCCUUCAUCUCUAGCAAAACCACCUCCACCCUCACUCCAGCCGCCCACUAACAGGAGACCAGACCUUCCCCCAUCUCUGCUACCUCUAUUUCCUCUCCCUCUCUCAGCCACGACCAAAAAAAUCUCACCGGCAGCUCAACCAUUCUCCCCCCCACCGCGACCCGACUCAGCAAAAACCUAGUCAUGCCAGCAGCCUCUUGGUCUUACCGCCGGCAACCUGAAACAGAGAAGAAGAAGGCGAAACCAAAAGAAAAAAAAAAUCUGUAGGGAGAGAAGCAGAUCCAUAAACGAGAAGGAAAGAAAACCAAAACUUGUGUUGCGUCUUUUCUUUUUCAGGUCUCCAUCGGUGACACCGCCGGCACAAGAAAGGAAUAAAGGAGGAGAUCUAUCCGAUCCCCUCAUUUUUCACAUCACCGGCGACGGUGAACAUAGUAAAAUUUCCACCACUGUUCCCGAGUCCAUUUUGUAAUCUUUAACGCCGAAAUGUGUAUUCAAAUUAUUGUUAGCAUUUUAAAUUUGUGUUACAUUGUAAACUUGAAACUGUGAUGUGUGAGUAAACAUAGGAAAAAUAGAAUGUUUGGGUGUGUUUUGUAUUUUUUUUUAUGUAUGUUUUCGAAUGUCAAAACCGAAACAAAAAGAAAAAAAAAUAAAUGUUCUAAUUUGUAUAAGGCCAGAUGUUUCAAAAAAUAUUAUAUUUCACAUGAAAAUCCAAGAAUAUAUUUUUGCAUAUAUUUUGGGGUUUAAUAAUCUGUUUAUAAAAAAUAUCAAAAAUCUUGUUUUUUUUAUAAUAUCUUGAAUUAUAAAUUUAUAUGGAAAAUAUAUUUUUUUUAUAUUAAAUAAAAUGUAUUUUUAUUUUGUUUUUAAAUUAAUAUUAAAACACUUAAAUUUUCUUCAUCUGAUAAGAUAAGAAUUUUUCUUUAAAUUUUUCUUUAAUUUUUUAUAUGCCGCCAAUAAAACAACUAUUAAAACCUUUAAAGCACAUCUAAUCUAAUUAUAGAGCAGCUUAUAUCAUGUAGGAUAUGUAAGGGGUGCUAAUUCCUAGUCACAAUCAAUUAUUUGCUCUUAAAUUUCUGACAAUAUCAGUAUACUUGAGUUUUUCAGUCAUUCUAAACUAAAUACUAAAUGGUGACUCCAAAAAGCAAACAUAAACAAAACUAUCCCAAGUCCACGUGUGUAAACUCACUUCAAAGUCUUGAAGCGAAUAUUUCUAUGAUAUAUCAAAGGUACAAUAGAUCUUAGCUUAUUCAGUGGUUAUAGUAAUAGCUUUGAUAUUGUGGAUUAUAAUAAUGGUGAUUGAGUUUCUAUGAUAUAUCAAAGGUUUAAUAGAUCUUAGCUUAUUCAGUGGUUAUUGUAAUAGCUUUGAUCUUAUGGAUUAUAAUAAUAGUGAGUGAGUUAGAGAUAUGGAUGAUAAAAAGAUCAUUACAGGUUUUGUUUUCAACAUGAGAGAAACAACUUUUACAUGGAAUUCAAAGAAUAAAUCUAUUAUCACAUUAUCUACUUGUGAAGCUGUAGAUGCAGCUAUUAUAGCAUAUGUUUAUCAUUUUAUAUGGCUAAAAAGAUUAUUGAAGAAGUUGCGAAUGCCACAAAAAAAAAAACCUACAAAGAUUUAUAUGAACAACUCAUCAGUCAUUGUAUUAGCUAAAAAUCCAGUUUUUCAUGACAAAAGUAAGCACAUUGACACAACAUUUUAUUAUUUAAGAGAAUGUAGUGGAAAGAAGAAAGUUGAAGUCAAGUAUGUGAAGACUCAAGAUCAAGUCACAGAUAUUUUCACAAAGCCACUCGAAUAUGAUGUUUUUGCAAAGAUGAGAGAUAUGUCGAGAGUUAUAAAUAAUAAUAGCAGUUAAUAUUGAGAGGGAGUGUUGAAGUUCAAUAUCAAUUAGGAUUUAAGCUUAUAUAAUUUAGAGUUUGUAAGAGUUAUAAUAUUGUUAGAACUUCACAAUAUUAAGAUUAUUAUCUAUUAGCAUUUUAUCAUUAUUAGAUAAAAAAUCUAAUUAAAGGAGAAAUUCUAGUUAAUGUAAGAAUCCUUGAUGAAAAAUGAUUUAUAAUAUACUAGUUUAUUAGAAUUUUUAUUUAAUAAGAAUGUUAGAUUUCUUAUUAAAUUUUAAUUUUUUUAAAAAAAAUUUAAUUUCUUGAUUAUCUAGAACUUGAGUUCUAUAAAUAGAAUUAUAAUCAAAAGAAUAAUUCACAAGAAUAGCUAGAGAGACACAAAAAAGAGCUAAAAAGAUAUAUUUUUUGAGAAAACUUUUCAUAAAAAAUAUUAUUUUUCUUGUUAUUUACCUUUGUUCUUGUAUUUAUUCUCGUAAAUUAGUUGCCGAGUCUAUCCUUCUCUUCCAACUUCCAACUUCCAACGUCGUCAUUAUUAUGGUCUUUCUGAACUGGAAGUUCGUGUGCGUGUCUUUUGGAAGUAGACGUAGUGACCACAUUUUCUUUCGUCCAUGGAAGUUAGCUGACGUAGUGUUUGAUAUAUACUUGCUUGAAAAUCAGCUUCCAUUCUUCAUCCUCGAGAAGUUGUUUGAGAUAUCCAGUGUUGCUGCCAAUCCUGGGAAUUGUACCAUUAUCAAGCUUACCUGCGGCUUCUUACUAUGGAGUUGGGUUGACUGGGUAAAAGAGGACAGUUGGGAAAUAAUCAAUUCUUCUGGAGUCCUAGAUUUUGUUGACUUCUUAAGAAAGUGUCUGCAACCAACAGAGCAGCACAGUCUAGCGGAAGAAGAAGCUUAUUUAAGCGCACCCACUGCAACGGAGCUCCAUCAAUCUGGUUUGAAGUUUAAGCGUCCCGAAGAAAGCUCAUCAUUAGACAUAAGAUUCAGUAAUGGGAUUCUAGAAAUUCCACAACUAAAAAAAUUAUAUGAUCAGACAGAAAUCUUAUUCAGAAAUCUCCAGGCCUUUGAGCAAUGCCAUUAUAGUUUUUUUUAUUAAGAAAUAUUGUAUUAAAAUAUUAUUUUUUUUAUUUUUUAAAAAUUAUUUUUAUAUUAACAUAUGAAAAUACAUAAAAAAAAUUAAUUUAAAAUUAAUUUUUUUAAUACAUUUUUUAAUGAAAUAAUAUUUUAAGAACUGAAUUCACAUUGCAUAAAGCCUUGGCACAAGUGGAAGGCAACCUAGAAGCAGGUUUAUUUCAACAAUCCAUUGACUGACAUCUCUGUUUGUGGAAUCAAAGUUGAAAAGUGCUACAUUUUCCUGUGAUGUGAUAUUGAUUAAGAGAUUUGUAGAAUAAGACGUGGUGCAGAACUGUAGAAGAUAAGGUACAAGACUAGGAAAGUCCUCAGGAAAACUGUAGAAUUGCACAGUUUGAGUGAGAAGUGAGAGGUGGUCCCCUUUUAUCAGAUAAAUAACAGAGGGCCAAUCAUUCAGGAAAAAAAAAACAUAAAAAGAAUUGGAAAUGGUUUGUUGGUAUAUUGAAAUAGAAAAUUGUAGAAUCAUUAUUUAUUGAUUCAGCUAAUUGAUGGAUCGAUAAAAAAAAUAAAAUGCUUUAUAAAUAUAUGCUUAUGAAUACAAAUCAUUUGAUUGAGAUUGUUUCAUAAUCCCUGAAAUAUAUAUAUAGUUUGAUUGGAGCACUGGUGAUUGUUGAAAGAUUUAUGAUAUUAAAACUUGAUUAUUAUUUUAUAGAACUAUUUAAGGUAAAAAUAUUUUUAUGAAUAAAUGAAAUUUAUAGUUUGAUUUGUAAAAUAUUUUACAUCCUAUACAGUAUUUUACAUAUAAUUAAUAAACAUCCUUUAAUAAAAAAAUAAUAUUGUAAAAUUUUAUCUAAAAAAGGCUUAGAAAGGUUUAAUCAAAAAAUUAAUAAAGUAAAACUUUCACAAAACUUUUAAACAAGUUUUGCAUUAAAAUCGGAUCUUUUUGUUUUGGGGCCAUCCCAUACCACUAUCCAAAAUAUAUAUAUGUCUCAAAUCCAAAAUCUUUCUAAAACAUUAUUAUCACGAGAGCUUUCAUGAAUUAAUUAUAUAUUUUGGUGAAGACUCAUGUCAUUAAAGUCAGGUAGCAUCCCCUCCACGUCAGGUGAAUAUAAAUAAGACAACAAAAGAGAAGGGACAGCUUGAAAACCUAAGGCUGUUUAUUCAUGGAAAUUCUAGUGUGAAAUCGACAGAGAUAGGGCACGUGAAUGAUGAAUAUACGAAUCCAGUUAUUCAAUUGAAUCACAUGCGACCAUGCAUGCCCCCCCACAUGGAUGGAUGGAUUUAUAUAUUCAUGAUAAUCAAAAGAAUGGUUAAGACUAUAUUCUUUAAAUAUGCUAAAAAGUAGUUAAUCCCAUUAGCUUACCGAUCAACGGCUCAAAUCCCAUUCACUGUCUCCUUCCUUCCUCCUUCACCUCUCCCCUUGCCCUAUAAAAAUCGCCAGAACCUCCCAUCCCUACCCACCAAAAACUUUCGUAAUUGAAUUUGUUUUCUCUGUGAUAACAAUUUUUUUGAUCUGCUGGUUUUGUUCUAAUACUAGCUAUCAUCUCAGUUCUGUCACAGGAUGGAAACUGUUGGAACAUCAAGCACUGAUGAUGAGCCGAGUCGACAUCAAGUUUCGCUAGAUAUCGAGACAUUAGCCAAAUCUGUGAAGGCCGAGCUGGAAAUCUCAUAUGCUUUCUCCGACACAUGUUGUAUAUAUAAAGUUCCGGAGCAAUUGCGCGAGGUGAACGAAAAGGCCUACACACCUCGAUUGGUCUCCAUAGGCCCAAUUCACCAUGCUAAAGAGAAGCUAAAAGCCAUGGAAGACCACAAAAGAAUGUAUCUGAAAGAAUUCCUUGCCCGGAGCGAGGUAAGUGUAGAGGGUUUUAUUGAAUUUAUUAAGGAGAACGAAACAAGAUUGCGUAAUUGCUAUGCGGAAACCAUUGAGUUUAAUAGCGAAUACUUCAUAAAAAUGAUAUUAAUGGAUGCUGCCUUCGUCAUUAUGUUUUUGCUGAAGUGCAAAAACAAAGACUUCAGCGGUAGCAGAGACAGCAUUUUCUAUCCUCCACACAAGAGUGUAGAUGUAAGGGUUGAUAUCUGUUUGCUUGAAAAUCAGCUCCCGUUCUUCAUCCUCGAGGAGUUGUGUGGACUAUCCACUAUACUCGGCAAUUCUCCGAAACCUACACUGAUUGAGCUUACUCAUGGGUUCUUUUCAAAAGAAUGGGGUUCAUGGGCAGUAGGGGAAUAUUGGGGGAAAAUAGAUUUCUCCGAAGUGAAACAUUUGGUUGACUUUCUUACAAUUUAUCAACAGCCACCUCAACAGCAGCAGAAUGAGGAACUUGAGGUUCUAACCGCACCCAGUGUAAAGGAGCUCCACCAAGCGGGGGUCAAGUUUGUGUUGAGUUCAAGCAAAAAUCUUCUUGACAUAAAAUUCGAUAGAAAUAAAGGGAGACUGGAAAUUCCACGAUUACAGUUAGAUGACAGUACAGAAAUCAUAAUCAGGAAUAUGCAAGCCUUUGAGCAGUGCCAUGGCCUGUAUGGUUAUGUUGGUGACUAUAUCUUCUUGAUGGGUCUCUUUGUCAGUGCCAGUAAGGAUGUGGAAAUGCUUGUUGAAAAUCGUAUUAUAGAAAACUGGCUACCGUCUAAUGAGGAAGUGGUACAACUCUUUUACAAUCUCAACAAACAAAAUAGUGUGCGGGGACGUUUUUUUCUCUUCAAAGGUCUCAUUAAAGAUCUGAAUGCAUUCUGCGAAAAGCCAUGGAACAAGUGGAAGGCAAAUUUAAAGCAAAAUUAUUUCAAUACCCCAUGGGCAGCAAUCUCUGUCUCAGGAGCUGUUAUUCUUCUCAUUCUGACUGUCCUACAGUCCGUCUGCUCUAUACUCCAAGUAGGUUAGCUUCUGCAAUUUCAAUUCUUUCAUACCGCAUGUUGCAUUAAUUGUACCCAUAAUCCUUGUUCUCUUACUUGAGGUACUUUUCUUCUAAUAAAUGACAAAGUUGUUCCAAGCAAUGAAGACUGUAUAAUUUGUUCUGAUUGUCUCUUAGAAACUGAAAUUGUUUUAUUCUAUGCCUUCCACGCGCAUGCUUAACAUGGGGUUUAAGGUCGCAGCGGCUGCUUUCUUUCAUCUUAGAUUAUUGAUAAAGGAAGAAAGCAUAACUCCUUAGGUCGGUUUGGAUCUGGUUGCGGUUACUUUUUAAAUUGUUUUUCAUGCUAAAAUGUAUUAAAAUAAUAUUUAUUUAUUUUUUAAAAAUUAUUUUUAAGAUCAGCACAUCAAAUCAAAACGAUCCAAAAUAUAUAUAUAUAAAAUAUUUUUUAAGAAAAAAAAUUAAAAUUUUUAGAAAUGCUGAUUGGCCCACAUUUUCAAACGUUAUUUUAAUCAUCAUGCCAACACACCUUGAUAUUUUUUAAAUUGUUUUUCAUGUUAAAGUAUAUUAAAAUAAUGUUUAUUUAUUUUUUAAAAAUUAUUUUUGAGAUCAGCGUAUCAAAAUUAUCCAAUAUAUAUAAAAAAAUAAUAAUUUUUAACAAAAAAAUUGAAUUUUUUAGAAACGCUAAUUAACCCCAUUUCCAAACGCUUUUUUAAUCAUCAUGCCAACACACCUUGAGAUUAUUGUUUACAUUACCAUAAAGUUAGAUUCACAACCGACAAUUAGGGUGGAAAAUAAAGUCACAUAAGACGGAUUUCAAAAUCAAGCCCUCUAGGGUAAUUUUUGUUAAGAAAUAUAUUUAUUUUAUUUAUUUAUUAAAAGUAAAACAAUAUUUUUAAUUUAUUUUAUAUAUAAUCUUGUAGUAUUAAGGUUAAAAACAUAACUUCAAAAAAAAAAUGAUCAAUGAAACCCUAACCCUCUUCUCUCUUAUGUUCGUAUUUCUCUUUGUUUGAAACAAGUUGCUUAAUAUGGUAUUAGAGCAUGGUUUUAUGGAACGAAACUUAAUCUCAAACACAACUUUCAUGAAUUUUUUGGAGUGAUAUUUGUUCAAUUUCUGCAAUCAGUUUUUGCAAAUAUGGUAUUUUAUCUUCUCUUUAGUUUCUACAAUUUAGUAUUUGCAUUCUAUUUCUGCAAUUUUUUUGGGAAUGAUCAUAUAACUUCGAGAAGAUAUUUAUUCAGUUUUUGCGAUAUUUGUUCAGUUUCUGCAAUCUAGUAUUUUGUUUUUUGCUUCUUUUACAUUCUGGUUUUUUUCUAUUUGUUAAUUAUGGCUACUGAAAGAAAUAAUCUGCUUCAGUCUGUGAGUGUGAGGUUAGAUGAAAAGAACUAUUUAUAUUAGAGUUAUGUAAUGAGAAAUUUUCUUAAGGAUAAAAAGAUAUGGAGAUAUGUUAAUGAAACUUAUGUUAUAUCUAAGAAUACUGAUUAAAGGUAUGCUAUUUUGAUAAAUGCAUGGGAAGCAAACAAUGCAAAGAUUAUUACUUGAAUUAAUAAUUUUGUUGAGCAUUUUAUAGGUACGUAGUUAUCAAAAUAUGAGACAACAAAAGAGGUUUGAGAUUAUUUACAAAUGUUAUUCACACAAUCAAAUUUAUCAAAGCAAUAUCAAUUAGUAACAUUGAUACAAGUCAUAUCAUUUUGUCUUUAUAUGUUGAUAACAUAAUUAUUAUUGGUGAUGACAUUGAUGAUAUUUUAGUUUUGAAGAUAAAGUUGGUUAGACAGUUUGAAAUGAAGGAUUUAAGCUAUCUUCAAUAUUUCAUGGGUAUUGAGGUAGCUCGCUCACUCAGAUGUUACUUUUUUUCUCAAUAAAAAAAUAUUGCAGAUAUCCUUGAGCGAGCUAAACUUACUAACAAUAAGACUAUAAAUACUCUCAUUGAGGUUAAUGCAAUAUAUUCCUUUUCGAAUGGUUUACAUUUGUUAGAUCCUACUUUAUAACAUACUAUUGGUGGGAGCUUGGUAAAUCUAAUUAUUACUUGUCCAAAUAUUGCAUAUGUUGUUCAUGUUGUUAGUCAAUUUGUUGCUUGUUCUACUACCAUUCAAGAGCUUAGUUGGGAGUUUUAGAUAUUUGACAUGCAGUCGUUUGUAUAUUCUUUAUAGAAUAGAACUUGUGAGUAGGUUUAUAAAAAUAUCAACUCUACUCAAUUUUUAAUUCAUGUUUUUGAUAAAUUUUCAGAAAAAAAUUAAAAAUAAUAAAAAACAAUAAAAACCUAAAAAAUACAUUUUUGAUAUCUUUGUAUUAUUUUUAUCAUUUUCAGUAUUAUCUUUAAAAAAUUUAAAUUUUAAAAGUUUUUUAAAUACAUUCAAAUUUUAAUAUAUUAUUUUUAAAAUUAUUAAUUUUUCUUGUAGAAUUUUAAUGUUAAAUCAAUGUUGAUGUAGCGUUAUCAGAAAAUAAAAAUAUAAAUAUUUUACCAAGCAUUUGAAAUAAAUAAUAUUUUUACUAUAAUAGUUAAUAAUAUUUUACCAAGCCGCCGCCGCCGCCCUCUCUUCCUUGGUUUUACUCCCAGAACCAUAGCCCCUCACUCUCUUCCCCAGUCGCCAUUUCCAGCACCGAAAACCAGCCACUCUCCUUUCUCCCCCCAGCCACCAGCCACACCCAGAGCCCACAUUUCCUCCCUCACAGAUCCACCCUCACUCUCCCUUCUUCCCGGCCACUGCACCUCCCUUCAUCUCUAGCAAAACCACCUCCACCCUCACUCCAGCCGCCCACUAACAGGAGACCAGACCUUCCCCCAUCUCUGCUACCUCUAUUUCCUCUCCCUCUCUCAGCCAUGUUAGAGAAUAAUAUAAAUCAUAUCCUGGGACCUCACCUAACAGUUUAAGCUUUUGGGUUGAGAUCGUUCUUUGACAUGGUAUCAGAGCCUUGAUGACCAAGCGGUCACGAGUUCGAAUCUCACCAUCCUCAUUUAUUUGAUAAAAAUUAAGCACAAGGUAAUGUGGGCCUGUGCAAGUUUCAAGCCCAAAGGGCUUUCACUUGAGGGGGUGUGUUAGAGAAUAAUAUAAAUCAUAUCCUGGGACCUCACCUAACAGUUUAAGCUAUUGGGUUGAAUUGGUUCUUUGACAAGCCACGACCAAAAAAAUCUCACCGGCAGCUCAACCAUUCUUCCCCCCACCGCGACCCGACUCAGCAAAAACCUAGUCAUGCCAGCGGCCUCUUGGUCUUACCGCCGGCAACCUGAAACAGAGAAGAAGAAGGCGAAACCAAAAGAAAAAAAAAUUUGUAGGGAGAGAAGCAGAUCCAUAAACGAGAAGGAAAGGAAACCAAAACUUGUGUUGCGUCUUUUCUUUUGCAUGUCUCCAUCGGUGACACCGCCGGCACAAGAAAGGAAUAAAGGAGGAGAUCUAUCCGAUCCCCUCAUUUUUCACAUCACCGGCGACGGUGAACAUAGUAAAAUUUCUACCACUGUUCCCGAGUCCAUUUUGUAAUCUUUAGACGCCGAAAUGUGUAUUCAAAUUAUUGUUAGCAUUUUAAAUUUGUGUUACAUUAUAAACUUGGAACUGUGAUGUGUGAGUAAACAUAGGAAAAAUAGAAUGUUUGGGUGUGUUUUGUAUUUUUUUUAUGUCUGUUUUCGAAUGUCAAAACCGAAACAAAAAGAAAAAAAAAAUAAAUGUUUUAAUUUGUAUAAUGCCAGAUGUUUCAAAAAAUAUCAUAUUUCACAUGAAAAUCCAAGAAUAUAUUUUUGCAUAUGUUUUGGGUUUAAUAAUCUGUUUAUAAAAAGUAUUAAAAAUCUUGUUUUUUUUUAUAAUAUCUUGAAUUAUAAAUUUAUAUGGAAAAUAUAUUUUUUUAUAUUAAAUAAAAUGUAUUGUUAUUUUGUUUUCAUAUUAUUAUUAAAACACUUAAAUUUUCUUUACCCGAUAAAAUAAGAAUUUUUCUUUAAUUUUUGACAGGCCGGUAAUAAGACAACCAUUAAAAACUUUAAACCACAUCUAAUCAUAGAGUAGCUUAUAUCAUGUAAGAUAUGUUAAGGGUGCUAAUUCCUAGUCACAAUCAAUCAUUUGCUCUUAAAUUUUUGACAAUAUCAGUAUACCUGGGUUUUUCAGUCAUCCUAAACUAAAUACUAAAUAGUGACUCCAAAAAACAAACAUCAACUGAACUACCCUAACACCGUGUGUCCACAUGCGUAGACUCACUUCAAAGUCUUGAAGCGAAUAUUUCUACGAUAUAUCAAAGGUACAAUAGAUCUUGGCUUAUUAUAUGGUUAUUGUAAUAGCUUUAAUCUUGUGGAUUAUAAUAAUAGUGAUUGAGUUAAAGAUAUAAAUGAUAUGGAUUAUAAUAAUAGUGAUUGAGUUACAGAUAUGGAUAAUAAAAAGAUCAUUACAGGUUUUGUUUUAAGGAAUUAACGAGUUGCACUCAUUGUAUAAUCAACAUACAUAUUUACUUAUCAUAUAUGUAUAUUAAUUAUUAUUCCCUCACUGAGUUGAUUGAACUCACCCCUCAUUCUUAAUAUUAUUUCAGGUUCUUAGUUUCUGAUAGCAGGUGAACCUUGUUGAGUGUUCCUACUUCUUCAGUUUUGGGUCAGUAUGCCUUGCUUAUCUUUCAAGGCUGUUUGAUUCGAUGUCUUGGGCGCUCCACUAUUACCUUGUUUUAAUUAAGUUUGGAUUUUGACAAUGUAAUGAGUAUUAUGGAUUAUUGUUUUUAUUUUAAUUACUGAUGAAGAGUUUUAAACUAUCUUUUGGUUUCAUCAGUUUUGAAUAAUAUAAGAUUUCUGAAGAUUAUGAAAUGCUGCGUAUUUUUGAAUAAAUUAUUCUUUUGAUAUGUCCGUUUUGAGGCUUAGCGCGGGCGGGGUGUCCUUCCGGCACCGCUCCUGCGUUGCCGGUCAUGGACCCGGGAUUCGGGUCGUGACAAAGGUGGUAUCAAACAUGAAAGAAACAACUUUCACAUGAAAUUCAAAGAAUCAAUCUAUUAUCACAUUAUCUACUUGUGAAGCUGUAUAUGUAGCUAUUAUAGCAUGUGUUUAUCAUUUCAUAUAGCUAAGAAGAUUAUUGAAGAAGUUACGAAUGCCACAAAAAAAAACCUACAAAGAUUUAUAUGAACAACUCAUCAGUCAUUGCAUUAGCUAAAAAUCCAGUUUUUCAUGACAGAAGUAAGCACAUUGACACAACAUUUUAUUAUUUAAGAUAAUGCUGUGGAAAUAAGAAAGUUAAAGUCAAGUAUGUGAAGACUCAAGACAAAGUCAUAAAUAUUUUCACAAAGUCACUCAAAUAUGAUAUUUUUACAAAGAUGAGAGAUAUGUUGAGAGUUAUGAAUAAUAAUGACAGUUAAUAUUGAAAGGGAGUGUUGAAGUUCAAUAUCAAUUAGGAUUUAGGCUAAUAUAAUUUAGAGUUUGUAAGAGUUUUAAUAUUGUUAGAACUUCACAAUAUUAAAGUUAUUAUCUAUUAGCGUUUUAUUAUUAUUAGAUAAAAAAUCUAGUUAAAGGAGGAAUCCUAGUUAAUGUAAGAAUCCUUGAUGAAAAAUGAUUUAUAAUAUACUAGUUUAUUAGAAUUUUUAUUUAAUAAGAAUGUUAGAUUUCUUAUUAAAUUUUAAUUUUUUUAAAAAAAAUUUAAUUUCUUGAUUAUCUAGAACUUGAGUUCUAUAAAUAGAAUUAUAAUCAAAAGAAUAAUUCACAAGAAUAGCUAGAGAGACACAAAAAAGAGCUAAAAAGAUAUAUUUUUUGAGAAAACUUUUCAUAAAAAAUAUUAUUUUUCUUGUUAUUUACCUUUGUUCUUGUAUUUAUUCUCGUAAAUUAGUUGCCGAGUCUAUCCUUCUCUUCCAACUUCCAACUUCCAACGUCGUCAUUAUUAUGGUCUUUCUGAACUGGAAGUUCGUGUGCGUGUCUUUUGGAAGUAGACGUAGUGACCACAUUUUCUUUCGUCCAUGGAAGUUAGCUGACGUAGUGUUUGAUAUAUACUUGCUUGAAAAUCAGCUUCCAUUCUUCAUCCUCGAGAAGUUGUUUGAGAUAUCCAGUGUUGCUGCCAAUCCUGGGAAUUGUACCAUUAUCAAGCUUACCUGCGGCUUCUUACUAUGGAGUUGGGUUGACUGGGUAAAAGAGGACAGUUGGGAAAUAAUCAAUUCUUCUGGAGUCCUAGAUUUUGUUGACUUCUUAAGAAAGUGUCUGCAACCAACAGAGCAGCACAGUCUAGCGGAAGAAGAAGCUUAUUUAAGCGCACCCACUGCAACGGAGCUCCAUCAAUCUGGUUUGAAGUUUAAGCGUCCCGAAGAAAGCUCAUCAUUAGACAUAAGAUUCAGUAAUGGGAUUCUAGAAAUUCCACAACUAAAAAAAUUAUAUGAUCAGACAGAAAUCUUAUUCAGAAAUCUCCAGGCCUUUGAGCAAUGCCAUUAUAGUUUUUUUUAUUAAGAAAUAUUGUAUUAAAAUAUUAUUUUUUUUAUUUUUUAAAAAUUAUUUUUAUAUUAACAUAUGAAAAUACAUAAAAAAAAUUAAUUUAAAAUUAAUUUUUUUAAUACAUUUUUUAAUGAAAUAAUAUUUUAAGAACUGAAUUCACAUUGCAUAAAGCCUUGGCACAAGUGGAAGGCAACCUAGAAGCAGGUUUAUUUCAACAAUCCAUUGACUGACAUCUCUGUUUGUGGAAUCAAAGUUGAAAAGUGCUACAUUUUCCUGUGAUGUGAUAUUGAUUAAGAGAUUUGUAGAAUAAGACGUGGUGCAGAACUGUAGAAGAUAAGGUACAAGACUAGGAAAGUCCUCAGGAAAACUGUAGAAUUGCACAGUUUGAGUGAGAAGUGAGAGGUGGUCCCCUUUUAUCAGAUAAAUAACAGAGGGCCAAUCAUUCAGGAAAAAAAAAACAUAAAAAGAAUUGGAAAUGGUUUGUUGGUAUAUUGAAAUAGAAAAUUGUAGAAUCAUUAUUUAUUGAUUCAGCUAAUUGAUGGAUCGAUAAAAAAAAUAAAAUGCUUUAUAAAUAUAUGCUUAUGAAUACAAAUCAUUUGAUUGAGAUUGUUUCAUAAUCCCUGAAAUAUAUAUAUAGUUUGAUUGGAGCACUGGUGAUUGUUGAAAGAUUUAUGAUAUUAAAACUUGAUUAUUAUUUUAUAGAACUAUUUAAGGUAAAAAUAUUUUUAUGAAUAAAUGAAAUUUAUAGUUUGAUUUGUAAAAUAUUUUACAUCCUAUACAGUAUUUUACAUAUAAUUAAUAAACAUCCUUUAAUAAAAAAAUAAUAUUGUAAAAUUUUAUCUAAAAAAGGCUUAGAAAGGUUUAAUCAAAAAAUUAAUAAAGUAAAACUUUCACAAAACUUUUAAACAAGUUUUGCAUUAAAAUCGGAUCUUUUUGUUUUGGGGCCAUCCCAUACCACUAUCCAAAAUAUAUAUAUGUCUCAAAUCCAAAAUCUUUCUAAAACAUUAUUAUCACGAGAGCUUUCAUGAAUUAAUUAUAUAUUUUGGUGAAGACUCAUGUCAUUAAAGUCAGGUAGCAUCCCCUCCACGUCAGGUGAAUAUAAAUAAGACAACAAAAGAGAAGGGACAGCUUGAAAACCUAAGGCUGUUUAUUCAUGGAAAUUCUAGUGUGAAAUCGACAGAGAUAGGGCACGUGAAUGAUGAAUAUACGAAUCCAGUUAUUCAAUUGAAUCACAUGCGACCAUGCAUGCCCCCCCACAUGGAUGGAUGGAUUUAUAUAUUCAUGAUAAUCAAAAGAAUGGUUAAGACUAUAUUCUUUAAAUAUGCUAAAAAGUAGUUAAUCCCAUUAGCUUACCGAUCAACGGCUCAAAUCCCAUUCACUGUCUCCUUCCUUCCUCCUUCACCUCUCCCCUUGCCCUAUAAAAAUCGCCAGAACCUCCCAUCCCUACCCACCAAAAACUUUCGUAAUUGAAUUUGUUUUCUCUGUGAUAACAAUUUUUUUGAUCUGCUGGUUUUGUUCUAAUACUAGCUAUCAUCUCAGUUCUGUCACAGGAUGGAAACUGUUGGAACAUCAAGCACUGAUGAUGAGCCGAGUCGACAUCAAGUUUCGCUAGAUAUCGAGACAUUAGCCAAAUCUGUGAAGGCCGAGCUGGAAAUCUCAUAUGCUUUCUCCGACACAUGUUGUAUAUAUAAAGUUCCGGAGCAAUUGCGCGAGGUGAACGAAAAGGCCUACACACCUCGAUUGGUCUCCAUAGGCCCAAUUCACCAUGCUAAAGAGAAGCUAAAAGCCAUGGAAGACCACAAAAGAAUGUAUCUGAAAGAAUUCCUUGCCCGGAGCGAGGUAAGUGUAGAGGGUUUUAUUGAAUUUAUUAAGGAGAACGAAACAAGAUUGCGUAAUUGCUAUGCGGAAACCAUUGAGUUUAAUAGCGAAUACUUCAUAAAAAUGAUAUUAAUGGAUGCUGCCUUCGUCAUUAUGUUUUUGCUGAAGUGCAAAAACAAAGACUUCAGCGGUAGCAGAGACAGCAUUUUCUAUCCUCCACACAAGAGUGUAGAUGUAAGGGUUGAUAUCUGUUUGCUUGAAAAUCAGCUCCCGUUCUUCAUCCUCGAGGAGUUGUGUGGACUAUCCACUAUACUCGGCAAUUCUCCGAAACCUACACUGAUUGAGCUUACUCAUGGGUUCUUUUCAAAAGAAUGGGGUUCAUGGGCAGUAGGGGAAUAUUGGGGGAAAAUAGAUUUCUCCGAAGUGAAACAUUUGGUUGACUUUCUUACAAUUUAUCAACAGCCACCUCAACAGCAGCAGAAUGAGGAACUUGAGGUUCUAACCGCACCCAGUGUAAAGGAGCUCCACCAAGCGGGGGUCAAGUUUGUGUUGAGUUCAAGCAAAAAUCUUCUUGACAUAAAAUUCGAUAGAAAUAAAGGGAGACUGGAAAUUCCACGAUUACAGUUAGAUGACAGUACAGAAAUCAUAAUCAGGAAUAUGCAAGCCUUUGAGCAGUGCCAUGGCCUGUAUGGUUAUGUUGGUGACUAUAUCUUCUUGAUGGGUCUCUUUGUCAGUGCCAGUAAGGAUGUGGAAAUGCUUGUUGAAAAUCGUAUUAUAGAAAACUGGCUACCGUCUAAUGAGGAAGUGGUACAACUCUUUUACAAUCUCAACAAACAAAAUAGUGUGCGGGGACGUUUUUUUCUCUUCAAAGGUCUCAUUAAAGAUCUGAAUGCAUUCUGCGAAAAGCCAUGGAACAAGUGGAAGGCAAAUUUAAAGCAAAAUUAUUUCAAUACCCCAUGGGCAGCAAUCUCUGUCUCAGGAGCUGUUAUUCUUCUCAUUCUGACUGUCCUACAGUCCGUCUGCUCUAUACUCCAAGUAGGUUAGCUUCUGCAAUUUCAAUUCUUUCAUACCGCAUGUUGCAUUAAUUGUACCCAUAAUCCUUGUUCUCUUACUUGAGGUACUUUUCUUCUAAUAAAUGACAAAGUUGUUCCAAGCAAUGAAGACUGUAUAAUUUGUUCUGAUUGUCUCUUAGAAACUGAAAUUGUUUUAUUCUAUGCCUUCCACGCGCAUGCUUAACAUGGGGUUUAAGGUCGCAGCGGCUGCUUUCUUUCAUCUUAGAUUAUUGAUAAAGGAAGAAAGCAUAACUCCUUAGGUCGGUUUGGAUCUGGUUGCGGUUACUUUUUAAAUUGUUUUUCAUGCUAAAAUGUAUUAAAAUAAUAUUUAUUUAUUUUUUAAAAUUUAUUUUUGAGAUCAGCACAUCAAAUCAAAACGAUCCAAAAUAUAUAUAUAUAAAAUAUUUUUUAAGAAAAAAAAUUAAAAUUUUUAGAAAUGCUGAUUGGCCCACAUUUUCAAACGUUAUUUUAAUCAUCAUGCCAACACACCUUGAUAUUUUUUAAAUUGUUUUUCAUGUUAAAGUAUAUUAAAAUAAUGUUUAUUUAUUUUUUAAAAAUUAUUUUUGAGAUCAGCGUAUCAAAAUUAUCCAAUAUAUAUAAAAAAAUAAUAAUUUUUAACAAAAAAAUUGAAUUUUUUAGAAACGCUAAUUAACCCCAUUUCCAAACGCUUUUUUAAUCAUCAUGCCAACACACCUUGAGAUUAUUGUUUACAUUACCAUAAAGUUAGAUUCACAACCGACAAUUAGGGUGGAAAAUAAAGUCACAUAAGACGGAUUUCAAAAUCAAGCCCUCUAGGGUAAUUUUUGUUAAGAAAUAUAUUUAUUUUAUUUAUUUAUUAAAAGUAAAACAAUAUUUUUAAUUUAUUUUAUAUAUAAUCUUGUAGUAUUAAGGUUAAAAACAUAACUUCAAAAAAAAAAUGAUCAAUGAAACCCUAACCCUCUUCUCUCUUAUGUUCGUAUUUCUCUUUGUUUGAAACAAGUUGCUUAAUAUGGUAUUAGAGCAUGGUUUUAUGGAACGAAACUUAAUCUCAAACACAACUUUCAUGAAUUUUUUGGAGUGAUAUUUGUUCAAUUUCUGCAAUCAGUUUUUGCAAAUAUGGUAUUUUAUCUUCUCUUUAGUUUCUACAAUUUAGUAUUUGCAUUCCAUUUCUGCAAUUUUUUUGGGAAUGAUCAUAUAACUUCGAGAAGAUAUUUAUUCAGUUUUUGCGAUAUUUGUUCAGUUUCUGCAAUCUAGUAUUUUGUUUUUUGCUUCUUUUACAUUCUGGUUUUUUUCUAUUUGUUAAUUAUGGCUACUGAAAGAAAUAAUCUGCUUCAGUCUGUGAGUGUGAGGUUAGAUGAAAAGAACUAUUUAUAUUAGAGUUAUGUAAUGAGAAAUUUUCUUAAGGAUAAAAAGAUAUGGAGAUAUGUUAAUGAAACUUAUGUUAUAUCUAAGAAUACUGAUUAAAGGUAUGCUAUUUUGAUAAAUGCAUGGGAAGCAAACAAUGCAAAGAUUAUUACUUGAAUUAAUAAUUUUGUUGAGCAUUUUAUAGGUACGUAGUUAUCAAAAUAUGAGACAACAAAAGAGGUUUGAGAUUAUUUACAAAUGUUAUUCACACAAUCAAAUUUAUCAAAGCAAUAUCAAUUAGUAACAUUGAUACAAGUCAUAUCAUUUUGUCUUUAUAUGUUGAUAACAUAAUUAUUAUUGGUGAUGACAUUGAUGAUAUUUUAGUUUUGAAGAUAAAGUUGGUUAGACAGUUUGAAAUGAAGGAUUUAAGCUAUCUUCAAUAUUUCAUGGGUAUUGAGGUAGCUCGCUCACUCAGAUGUUACUUUUUUUCUCAAUAAAAAAAUAUUGCAGAUAUCCUUGAGCGAGCUAAACUUACUAACAAUAAGACUAUAAAUACUCUCAUUGAGGUUAAUGCAAUAUAUUCCUUUUCGAAUGGUUUACAUUUGUUAGAUCCUACUUUAUAACAUACUAUUGGUGGGAGCUUGGUAAAUCUAAUUAUUACUUGUCCAAAUAUUGCAUAUGUUGUUCAUGUUGUUAGUCAGUUUGUUGCUUGUUCUACUACCAUUCAAGAGCUUAGUUGGGAGUUUUAGAUAUUUGACAUGCAGUCGUUUGUAUAUUCUUUAUAGAAUAGAACUUGUGAGUAGGUUUAUAAAAAUAUCAACUCUACUCAAUUUUUAAUUCAUGUUUUUGAUAAAUUUUCAGAAAAAAAUUAAAAAUAAUAAAAAACAAUAAAAACCUAAAAAAUACAUUUUUGAUAUCUUUGUAUUAUUUUUAUCAUUUUCAGUAUUAUCUUUAAAAAAUUUAAAUUUUAAAAGUUUUUUAAAUACAUUCAAAUUUUAAUAUAUUAUUUUUAAAAUUAUUAAUUUUUCUUGUAGAAUUUUAAUGUUAAAUCAAUGUUGAUGUAGCGUUAUCAGAAAAUAAAAAUAUAAAUAUUUUACCAAGCAUUUGAAAUAAAUAAUAUUUUUACUAUAAUAGUUAAUAAUAUUUUACCAAGCCGCCGCCGCCGCCCUCUCUUCCUUGGUUUUACUCCCAGAACCAUAGCCCCUCACUCUCUUCCCCAGUCGCCAUUUCCAGCACCGAAAACCAGCCACUCUCCUUUCUCCCCCCAGCCACCAGCCACACCCAGAGCCCACAUUUCCUCCCUCACAGAUCCACCCUCACUCUCCCUUCUUCCCGGCCACUGCACCUCCCUUCAUCUCUAGCAAAACCACCUCCACCCUCACUCCAGCCGCCCACUAACAGGAGACCAGACCUUCCCCCAUCUCUGCUACCUCUAUUUCCUCUCCCUCUCUCAGCCAUGUUAGAGAAUAAUAUAAAUCAUAUCCUGGGACCUCACCUAACAGUUUAAGCUUUUGGGUUGAGAUCGUUCUUUGACAUGGUAUCAGAGCCUUGAUGACCAAGCGGUCACGAGUUCGAAUCUCACCAUCCUCAUUUAUUUGAUAAAAAUUAAGCACAAGGUAAUGUGGGCCUGUGCAAGUUUCAAGCCCAAAGGGCUUUCACUUGAGGGGGUGUGUUAGAGAAUAAUAUAAAUCAUAUCCUGGGACCUCACCUAACAGUUUAAGCUAUUGGGUUGAAUUGGUUCUUUGACAAGCCACGACCAAAAAAAUCUCACCGGCAGCUCAACCAUUCUUCCCCCCACCGCGACCCGACUCAGCAAAAACCUAGUCAUGCCAGCGGCCUCUUGGUCUUACCGCCGGCAACCUGAAACAGAGAAGAAGAAGGCGAAACCAAAAGAAAAAAAAAUUUGUAGGGAGAGAAGCAGAUCCAUAAACGAGAAGGAAAGGAAACCAAAACUUGUGUUGCGUCUUUUCUUUUGCAUGUCUCCAUCGGUGACACCGCCGGCACAAGAAAGGAAUAAAGGAGGAGAUCUAUCCGAUCCCCUCAUUUUUCACAUCACCGGCGACGGAUAAAAAAAAUUAAAUGUUACUUUAUAUUUUUUAAAUUUUAAAUUAUUAGAGAAGGUUAUAAAAAAUAAAUUAUAUUAUUUUUUAAUACAUUCUCUCAAGUAAAAACCCUUUAAAUUUAAAAUUUAUAUAUAUUCAUGUUACUUUAUAUUUAAUUUAAAAUUUAAUUCAAUUAAACCUUUAAUAAAAUUUAAUUAAGUUCAUAAACAUCUGAUUUUAGAUUUUUCUUCUUUAAAUUAAAUUUUUUUGUCAAUAAAACUCUUAUCAGUAAAAAAUAUACUGUCAAAUUUCAAUCCUUGUAUUUUUGAACCUCCUUGAUCAAUUUCUAGCUAUUUUCUGGGCACUCCGAUAUUCUUUUCUUGUUGCUAUUAUUUUUUUGGAUUUUUUUUAAUAGUUUUUAUUUAUUUGUUUAAUUUUUUUAUUUUUGUGUGGAGACUGAAAAUAAAUAACAACAACUUUUAUACAAGUCUUACAUGAAAUUUUUCAGGUUUCUAGCUUCUCUUUAGUAAUGGAGACCCUAGCUAUGUUUUACAUGGGAAUUCUGGUCUGAAAUCGACAUAGAUAGGGCAGAUGAAUAUCCGAGUCCAAUUAUUCACAUUGCUUUAAGAAACUCUUUUUAAAACAUCAUUAUCACGACAGUUUUCAUGAAUUAAAUAUGUAUUUUGAUAAUGAAUUAUUUUCAAAUAACUAAUUUAAUUUAAAAUUUAAAAUUAUCAUAUAAAAAUAUAAAUUAUAAAUUAUAUAUUUUUUUAAUACUCUUUCAAAUAAAAAUCUUUUAAAUUUUAAAAUUGUAUAUGUUUAACUUAUUUUAUACUUAAUUUUUAUUAAAUAAAUAAAAAUAUUAAUAUUUAAACUCGUGAUUAUUAGAUCAUUAAAACUUUAAUAUUAUAUAAAAAAAUUAAUUUAAUUCAAAAAUUUAAAUUAUUAAAUAAAAUAUAAUUUAUAAUUUAUAAUUUAUAUUAUUGUACAACCAGUUAAAGUCGCUGCAUUUCCCCCAGUUACUGUUGCCUUUUAAUUGCUAUCUACGUGGAAUGAAAGCUGGAGAGUGCUCCAUUUUCAAGUGGUGCAGAACUGUAGAAGAUAAGGUACAAGACUAGAAAAGUCUUCAGGAAAACUGUAGAAUUGCACAGUUUGAGUGAGAAGUGAGAGGUGGUCCCCUUUUCAGGAGAAAUAAAAGAGGUGGUCCCCUUUUAUCAGAUAAAUAAUUAAUAGAGGUGGUCCCCUUUUAUCAGAUAAAUAAUAUAGGGUGGCCAAUCAUUCAAAGAAAAAACAUAGAAAGUAUUGGAAAUGGUUUAUUGGUAUAUUGAAAUAAAAAAUUGUAGAAUCAUUAUUUAUUGAUUCAGCUAAUUGAUGGACCGAUAAAAAAAUAAAAUGUUUUAUAAAUAUAUGCUUAUGAAUACAAAUGAUUUUUAUUGAGAUUGUCCCAUAAUUAAUCCAUGAAAUAUAUAUACUUGAUUAUUUUUUUAAAAAAAUAUUUUAUAGAACUAUUUAAGGUACAAAUAUUUUUAUGAAUAAAUGAAAUUUAUAGUUUGAUUUGUAAAAUAUUUUACAUCCUAUACAGUAUUUUACAUAUAAUAAACAUCCUUUAAUAAAAAAAAAAAAUAUCUAAAAAGGGCUUAGAAAGGUUUAAUCAAGAAAUUAAUAUAGUAAAACUUUCACAUAACUUUUAAACAAGUUUUGCAUUAAAAUUGUAUCUCAUACAAAAUAUGUCUAUGUCUCAAAUCCAAAAUCUUUCUAAAGCAUUAUUAUCACGAGAGCUUUUAUGAAUUAAUUAUAUAUUUUGUUGAAGACUCAUGUCAUUAAAGUCAGGUAGCAUCCCCUCCACGUCAGGUGAAUAUAAAUAAGACAACAAAAGAGAAGGGACAGCUUGAAAACCUAAGGCUGUUUAUUCAUGGAAAUUCUAGUGUGAAAUCGACAGAGAUAGGGCACGUGAAUGAUGAAUAUACGAAUCCAGUUAUUCAAUUGAAUCACAUGCGACCAUGCAUGCCCCCCCACAUGGAUGGAUGGAUUUAUUAAGUAAUAUUCUAAAAGGUGCUGGGAAAUCACUGAGCUUUCCUCCUAUUAAUAUAUAUUUAUAUUAUUAUAAUUAUUAUAUUAUAAUUAUAUUAUAGAACUGUCUUUUCUUUUUUUUGUUUUUAUUUUUUUUUGUUUUUUUUCAAUGAUUUUUUUUUAUUUAAUUUAGUUUGGUAAUGUUAAUUUUUUUUAUUUAGUUAUCAGACUUUCAUGAUACGGAUCCCGGGUUUGAUAGGUUAACCUGAUUUGACGAGUUAACCCGGAUUUUUUUUUCUUUUUGAUUAGUUUCUUUCGUUUAGUUUAGUUUGUUAAUGUUAAAAUUUUUUUCUAUUUAAUUAUUAGACUUUCGUGACAUGUAUCUUAGGUUUGACAGGUUAACUUGGUUUGAUGAGUUAACCUAGUUAAUUCCGGGUAAACCCGUCAAUUUUUUUUAAAACUUUAGUUAUCAAACUUUCAUGACGCGAAUCCCAAGUUUGACGGGUUAACCUGGUUUGAAGGGUUAACCCAGUUAAUUCAAUUUUUUUUCUUUUUCUUCAUUAGUUUUUUUUCUUCCUAUUGGUUUUUUUUCUUUGUUUUUUUCUUUUUAAUUAAUCUAUUUAAUUAUCACACUUUUAUGACACCACCUUAUAGCCAGACCUACAUUCAAUGCUCUUGGGUCUGGUGUUGCAGCUAGGCUCAUUUAAACUUAAGUCAUGUAAGUUUAAUAUUAUUAUUAAUAUUAUAAAUAUUAUUCUUGGGUUAAGCGUUACAACUAGACCUAAGGCUUUUGAGUAUAUCUUUGCAGAAAGACCUAACACUCUUAGAUCUUAGCUUUUUUUUGUUAUUUUUUAUGCAAGAAAAAAAUUAACCGGUGGCGUAUGACUUUGUUUUUUUUUGCCUUUUUCUUUUCCUUUCUAAGCCUUUUACUGUGAACUGCACGGUGCAGUCCACAGUGAAAAAGUUUAUGUCUUUAGUUUUUUUUUUCUAUAGUUUCUUAAUAUUAAUUUUUUUUGUUUAAUUAUUAGACUUUCAUGACACGGCUCCCAGGUUUGAUGGUUUAACCCAGUUGAUUCAUAUUUUUUUUCUUUUUCUUCAAUAGUUUUUUUCUCUUUGCUUUUUUCUUUUUAAUUAAUCUUUUUUUUUAAUUUAGUUCAUUAAUAUUAAAUAUUUUUUCUAUUUAGUUAUCACACUUUCAUGACACGAAUCACAGGUUUGACGGGUUAACCUGAUUUGGCGAGUUAACUUAGCUGAUUUAGAUUUUUUUUUCUAUUUUCUCAUUAAUUUUUUUCUUCCGAUUUCAUCUUUUAAUAUUGUAUGCAAUCCACAGUGAAAAGGAUGAUGCCUUUAGUUUUUUUUUUUUGCUUUUUUUUCUUUUUAUGCCUUUCACGGUGGACUGCAUAGUGCAGUCCACGGUGAAAAGGCUGAUACCUUUUUUUUUAAUUAAUUUUAUUUAUUUAGUUUGUUGAUAUUAAAUGUUUUUCUAUUUAGUUAUCAAACUUUCAUGACACGGAUCUUAGGUUUGACGGGUUAACCCAGUUAAUUUAGAUUAUUUUAUCUUUUUCUUCAUUAGUUUUUUUCUUCUUAUAAGUUUUUUUUCCUGUUAUUUUUUCUUUUGAAUUAAUAUUUUUUUAUUUAAUUUAGUUCAUUAAUAUGAUUUUUUUUCUAUUUAGUUAUUGGUUGAUGCCUUUUUUCUAUUUAGUUAUCUUAGGUUUGGCUAAUUGAAGAAUUUUUUUUUUGUUUUCAUGCCUUUAAUUGUGGAUUGCACAGUGUAAUUCACAGUGAAAAGGCUGAUGCCUUUUGCUUGUCUUGGUUUUUUUCCUUUUUAAGUAAUUUUUUUCAUUUAAUUUAGUUUGUUAAUGUUCAUUUUUUUUCUAUUCAGUUAUCAAACUUUCAUAACACAGAUUCCGGGUUUGACGGGUUAGCCCAAUUAAUUCUGGGUAAACCGUCAAUUUUUUUUUCUAUUUAGUUAUCAAACUUUCACUACACGAAUUCAAGGUUUGACGAGUUAACCUGCUUUGAAGGGUUAACCCAAUUAAUUCAGAAUUUUUUUCUUUUUCUUCAUUAGUUUUUUUUCUUUCUGUUGGUUUUUUUUUCUAUUUAAUUAAUCUAUUUAAUUAUCACACUUUUAUGACACGACCUUGUAGCCAGACCUACAUCUAAGACUAUUGGAUCUAGUAUUGCAACCAAACUCAAGACGGAGAUAGCCCAAGAUUUCAAGAAGAGCACUGAGCUGUUGAUAAGGAAGCUUCCAUUUCAAAGGCUGGUGAGGGAGAUAGCCCAAGAUUUCAAGACGGAUUUGAGGUUCCAAAGCAGCGCAGUGGCUGCCCUUCAGGAGGCGGCAGAGGCAUAUCUUGUAGGGUUGUUUGAGGAUACCAACUUGUGUGCUAUUCAUGCUAAGAGGGUAACUAUUAUGCCUAAGGAUAUCCAAUUGGCCCGAAGGAUUAGAGGAGAGAGGGCUUAAUUGUAAAACUUUCCCAGAUUAAAUGAGAAAUUGCAUUGCUUUAUUUGGAUUCUACUUGAUGAUUUGUCUUUAAAUCUCUGUCUAAUCAAUCUUGUUCCCAAAUGGAAAUGAUAGAGAAUCUUAUGCAUUGUAUUGAUCAUGCUCCAUGGUUCAUAGAGACCUAACUGCCCAAAACCCUUAAUUUUAAGGACUAAAAUGUAAUACAAGAACAUGAAAAUAUUAUACGAAAAAGAUUUGGCUAAACAAUAUUAUCGAACAUUUAUAUAUAAACAUCUAACAACCCUAGCUGUAUGUUAUGGCGUGAAUCUCUGGCAACGAUACUGCAAUGGAGGAACUGGACAAACUUUAUCACUCGAGCAUUGUACGUAUUGAUGGUAUAUUAUAGAAGAAGAAGAUCAUGCUAUCCCUAGGCCUCACCUUAGAUUAAAAUAUGCUGUAGCAAUACGUGACGGAUUCUUCAGAUUAUUUAGGGACCAAGCAUUAGGUGUUUAAUUAGUGGAAGAAAACACAAGCAAAUUUGUCUGGAUAUUAUUUUCAAAAUCUUAAAUUAGUUUUAUAGAAAAAACUUAUAAUAUUGACAAGUUUUAGAGUUUUCAUUGCAUGAGUAUGGGCCUUGAGUCUGGGGUUGAUUGACAGGCUUUGGCAAAGCUCAUUAAUGGGCUGGGUUGCCCAGGGAAAUUAGUCCAAGAAAUCUCUCCCUAGUCCCUCCUCUCCGCAAAAGCUAGAGAAUUUUCAAGGUCUCUCUCUAAUCUUGAAGACAGUCUCUUCACCAUCCUACUCAGCCGCCCCCUGUUAAGCAGCAACUCACAAAGAGGUAUCCUACUGCACCUAAAUUCUCUCCUUAGAUGAAACGAUUGAUUUGAAUUUCUUUGAUGUUUUGAUUUGUCAAGAUUAAACAAUAUUUUUAUUAAUAAAAUUAAAUAGGUUUACAUGAUUAAAAUUAAAAUAUUAUUUUACAUUAAAUCAAUUAAAUACAUCAAAUAUAUGUUUCGUUUCUUUACCUACACCAAAUAUUCUUCAAAAAAAUAAAAUAUUAAAUAUUUUAAAAAGAUAAAUUCUUAAAAAAAUAUUUCUUAACAGUUCAUGAUCAAAACCAUAAAACACCGCAGGUCAAUAACACUAGUUAGAAUGAUAAUAUUUUAUUUAUCUUAUAUAAAAAACUUUGAGAAAUCAUUAUUCAAAAGCCACUUUAUGCAUACAUGUGCUUCAAAAAUAUGUUUUAUAAAAUUUCAAAAAUGUCAUUAUUCAUGUUGCUAUUCAAUUUUUAAUCCAUAUUUUUAAUAAAUUUUCAAAAAAAAUCAAAAAAUAGCAAAAAAAAAAAAAAUUCAAAAAAUAUAUUUUUGAUAUAUUUACAUCGUUUUUAGCAUUUUCAACGCUAUCUCAAAAGAAUUUAAAUUUUUAAAGGUAUUUUGAACGCGUUCAAUUUUUAAAGCGUAAAUUUUAUGAUCACUGAUUUUCCUUGUUGAGUUGACGUUGAUAUUGCUCGCUUUAAAAAAUACAAAAAAGUAAGAAAAAUUAAAAUUUACAAAAAAAAAAGAAAGGAAAAGUAAAAGUUGAGGGACUAGUUUGAAAACCUAACGAACUUUAUGUAUAAAUACUAAGCUACAGUGAAAAACUGAGGGGGGAGAAAAAUUUACAGGGACGGGGGCGGAGAAAAUUUAGGGGGGGAAACAAAAGGGGAAAAACCUAAACCUAGAAAAAAAACCAUCUCCCUCAAGCGGCCGCCACGCCCAUCUCCAUCUUCCCUGAGAACAAAGUGACCUGGCCGCCACUUUUCCCCCACUUUUGCUUUGAAAGCAAACCAGAGAAACCCCACACAAAUAGAUAGAAGGCGCCGCUCACCUUCUGACCCGAGCCUUCACCCGAUUUCCCUCUGCUGGUCAUCAACACAGUGACGGCCGCCCCCUCCCUUUGAAGAUAAAAAACCAGAGUUCUCUUCCUCGGGGCUCUCCCAAAAAACCAAAAAAGCUCCCUCCCUUUUCCUUUCUCCAGCCGCCACUAACCCUCCCCUUUGGCCUGCGAUUUUUGCUCCUGAAACAGCCCCCCUUGCCUUGACAAAGCAAGCCAGAGAGAGCCCCUCUGCUAAAAAGAAAAAGCACUGGCCGUCCCUCUCCUGUUCUUCCUCUCGACUGAACCGAGAGCCCUCAGCCACCGGGCAACAGUCGACCCAUCGACCUCCCUCGCCCGGCUGACGCCACAGACGCCCGGCCAAGACUGCUCCUCUGCGCACCACAGAGCAGCCUCAUCUUCCCCGACCAGAGAACGGGCAGGGCCGUUCCCCAUCUCCUCAGACCCACGGCUCCCGCUUCAGCCAGCAGGUCUUUCCUUCCUCAGCCGCCGAACAGCCUCCAGCGGCAGCAACAACCCAGCAGCGCCCACAGACCGGCAGCCCUUGGUCAUGCCACCGGCACCUGAAACAGAAGAAGAGGAAACAAAAAAACUUGCAGAGAUGCAGCAGAUCUGAACAAGGAGAAGGAAGAGAAGCCGAUUUGAAAACAAAGAAAGAAAACUAAAACAGACUGCUUUGUUGCGAUGUUUGUUGUUUUGCAGGUAACGGCGUUGCUCACCGCCAGCAAGGAAAGGAAGAGGGGAGGGGGUUGUUACAGACCCCCCUGUUUGUUUGGAGUUUACGGUACUGUUCAGGAUUUUAGUUCAGGACUUCUUUUUUUGUAAAAUUUAAAUUGUUUAAUGUGUUAUUUGGGUUGUUUUGAACAUUUGAUUAUUUUGUAAUAUUUAGUUAUGGGUGUGUGUGAGUAUAUUACAGUAAAAAUCAGUGAUAUGUGUGUGUAGUUUUUAUUUUUGUUAUUGAAUUAUAAAAAUAAAAAAUACAAAAAGAAUUAAGUGUUUAAUUUAAAUAUAGUUAAAUAUCUCAAGGACAAAUAAAAUUAUGUUGUAUUUUCUGGAAAAUGUAAGAACAUGUUUCUACAUUUAUUAUGGGAUUUAAUAACUGAUUUAUUAAAACUUUAGAAUUUAGCUAAUAUUUUUUAAAUCAUAUCAAAUCAUGAAGCAGUUUAUUUCAGAUAGGGUGGGUGUUUAUAUCUUUUUUAGCUACAACCAAUUCUUUACCCUCGGAUAUACGAUGAUGACUAGUAAAUCUGGAUUUUCUAAUAACCUUUAAUUCAAUAGUAGAGAUUGACUCCAAAUAAAAAUGUGAGUGAUGUGCGACAAUUCAAAAGCAACUUUAUCCAUACAUGUGCUUCACAAAAAUUUUCCUUUUAUUUUCUAUUUCGUUCCUCGUAAUAUUUCCUUUCUUUCUUUUUAAUAACAUCAUCAAAUUUCAUUAAGCUCAAUGAAUUGAACAUAUCAUCAUAGACUGUAUCCAGUACAAACUAGGAAUAUAUUUUUGUUAAUCUAUCUUAUAUAUAUCCUUGAUAUUUCAGUGCAUGGAAAUUGAACAAAUCAUGUAGCUUUGAAUUUUUCCCACCAUUGAAGAAGGGCAUGGAAAUUCUAGUGUGAAAUCGACAGAGAUAGGACAGAUGAAUGAUGAAUAUACGAAUCCAAUGAUUCAAUUGUAUCACAUGCGACCAUGCCCCACAUGCAUGGAAGGAUUUAUAUAUUCAUAAAAGUAGUCAAACGAAUGAUUAAGAUGAGCUUAUUAUAGUCUUUAAAUAUGCUAAAAAGUAGUUAAUAUUACUUUCACCUUUCCCCUCUUCGGAUUACAUUUAUAGUUUUCCAUUAGCUUACCGAUCUACGGCUCAAAUCCCAUUUCACUGUCUCCUUCCUUCCUCCUUCACCUCUCCCCUUGCCCCUACAAAAAUCGCCGGAACCUCCUAUCCCUACCCACCAAAAACUUUCAAAUCUCUAGCUUUCCCUCGUUUUCUCGAGAAACAAACAGAAACCCGAAACCCCAAUUUCCCAAUUCAUUUAUUUCAAGGGCACAAAGUAAACAGCAAGAAAAUCCACCGGAGGGA
rnacentral:lncRNA from 1 species